rnacentral:lncRNA from 1 species
UGUACUGUUCCUGGACGCCUUUAUUCAAUCUUUCUCCAGGUUGUUGAGUAAGAAAAACAUUGUAGAAUCUCCCUCCUGCUUGUGGACUGACUUAAGAACGUGUAAGGCAAUAUGGAGGAGUGUUAGGAAACUAUGGAAGUGGUACCUCGAUCCCCAUCUCUUCCGUGGAUCCGAAAAAUGGCAAUUGGAAUUACAUGCCAAGGUUUCUUGUCCUCAUACUUGACAUGGAAACCUUAUCUGUCAAUGCCGCGAGCUACCGAUGAGUCAGAAAACUGCAACAUAAUUGCAUGAAAUGGUAAUGGUUUGCAAAAUAGGAACCUUAGUUUACAAUGUGAUUUAUAAAUAAUUUGUGAAUUGAGUUAUGAAUAGACACCGUCAUGGGCUCGGAAGACCGAUUAUCGAGCUUUGACUACAUUAAAAAGGUAUUUUGGUAGACGGUAGAAAACUAAGUUAAACUAUUUUGCAAAAUCAAUAAUCUCCCGUUAUGGUUAAUACCUCUUUUGUCAUCCAAAAGUUGUUUCGACUUUCAAAUUUUACUGUCCAAAUUUUACAGUAAUAUAAAUAUGUCGAGACACUCAUAAUAGUGCAAACAUAGAUGAUUGACGAUAAUGUCACAAUUACCCAAUUCAAGAGUACUCAAGAUAAAGAUGAUAACAAAGAAAUCAAAUAAAGAUUUUGGAUCAUCUUGUUUGGAAAGCCAUUAACCUUGGGUGAAGAUUGAGAAAUUAGGAAAAAGGUAAUUACGUUGAACUAAUUAAAAAUUUAAGGAGCGUCUCAUAUAUUGAACCAACUUUCGAGGUCAUUUCGGUAAUCAUCCCCUUAUAUUUAUUUCCUUCGACGCGAUAUUUACGAGGACAUCUCCAGGUUCGCCUUCUUCUCUUUUCGACGCUCUCUGCAUGCGGUUUCUAGCGAAGUAGGGCGCGUUUGGUUGUGUUUCUGUUUAAAAAUUGUUCCAAGGAACAGAAAUAGAAAAAAGUAUUUCUGUUCCGGGGAACAAUUUUUGAACAAAAAUACGCGUUUGGUAAAUUUGUUCCGGGAAUAAAAAAUAAACAGAAACAUGUUUGGUAAAUUUGGAUAAUUUUUUUAUUUCUUUUAUUUUUUCUAUUUUUUUAUUUUUUCUUUUUCAUUUUUUUUUCUUCUUUUGGCCGGUAUUGGAUCGGUGGCAGAUAGGUUGGAAAUAGUGGUUUUGAGCUUUAACUUGGUAGACCGAACUAAGCCAAUGAAGCGAGCAAAUUGGCCUAAGCUUGUUUUUUUUUUAAUGAUCAGAAAUUGAAAUUUGAAAUUUUUUGAGAUAUGAUGGAAUUUUUUUUGGAUAGGGCAAGUGUAAACAAAUAUUGCGUUUGCAAAUAAAAAAGAUCUUCGUGGAUAUCGAUUUGGAAAAAUUAAAACCCUAAUUCGUGGCCUAUAAAUAGGUCAAAACGCAUAGGGUUCGUGGGGGGCUUUUUGUUUUCUUCGAAGACAAAGGAAGAAUCAACACAAAAAGAGAGAAAAAAGAUUCUAAUGUUUGAUCGAAGAAGAGAAAGACAGAGAAGGGAAAAACUUGAGGAAAAGUCAAAAAGAAAAGGAAGAAGGAGGGGGAAACGUAAAAGUAGAAAAGAUAGAGGGAGGUGAUUGGACAUUUACUGUUCAUUGUCUCCCCCACCUUUGCGAGAAAAUAUUAGCUGCAGCUCUGACUCAAGUGUGUACUCGUCAUAGUCUACUCAUCGGGUGACACGUGUCGUCUCGACGCCNNNNNNNNNNNNNNNNNNNNNNNNNNNNNNNNNNNNNNNNNNNNNNNNNNNNNNNNNNNNNNNNNNNNNNNNNNNNNNNNNNNNNNNNNNNNNNNNNNNNNNNNNNNNNNNNNNNNNNNNNNNNNNNNNNNNNNNNNNNNNNNNNNNNNNNNNNNNNNNNNNNNNNNNNNNNNNNNNNNNNNNNNNNNNNNNNNNNNNNNNNNNNNNNNNNNNNNNNNNNNNNNNNNNNNNNNNNNNNNNNNNNNNNNNNNNNNNNNNNNNNNNNNNNNNNNNNNNNNNNNNNNNNNNNNNNNNNNNNNNNNNNNNNNNNNNNNNNNNNNNNNNNNNNNNNNNNNNNNNNNNNNNNNNNNNNNNNNNNNNNNNNNNNNNNNNNNNNNNNNNNNNNNNNNNNNNNNNNNNNNNNNNNNNNNNNNNNNNNNNNNNNNNNNNNNNNNNNNNNNNNNNNNNNNNNNNNNNNNNNNNNNNNNNNNNNNNNNNNNNNNNNNNNNNNNNNNNNNNNNNNNNNNNNNNNNNNNNNNNNNNNNNNNNNNNNNNNNNNNNNNNNNNNNNNNNNNNNNNNNNNNNNNNNNNNNNNNNNNNNNNNNNNNNNNNNNNNNNNNNNNNNNNNNNNNNNNNNNNNNNNNNNNNNNNNNNNNNNNNNNNNNNNNNNNNNNNNNNNNNNNNNNNNNNNNNNNNNNNNNNNNNNNNNNNNNNNNNNNNNNNNNNNNNNNNNNNNNNNNNNNNNNNNNNNNNNNNNNNNNNNNNNNNNNNNNNNNNNNNNNNNNNNNNNNNNNNNNNNNNNNNNNNNNNNNNNNNNNNNNNNNNNNNNNNNNNNNNNNNNNNNNNNNNNNNNNNNNNAUUCCCAUUUGCGAAGCAAUAAAGUUGGGAACUCAUACGAGACUUAAUGCUCAACUCGCGGACUGAAGAUGAUUGGAAAGAACUCACAUUAAAACUUGACAUUAAAACCGAUGAAAGAGAUUAAAUAAAAAGGACAGCUAACUCGAACCUUAUUCGACAAUUUCAAGUUCUCACUUUCAAGUGUCCAUCUCUUCGGCAUCCCCAUCGUAAUUGUUCUAAGUCAAGCAUCAUCGAACGAGACAGUCAAUCAAAACGAGCUGUAGAAAGGACCCUUUUGGGUGCCACUGGCUUAGCCAUUGUUCAUUUUCUAUGUUGGCAUGCACGCAUGAGGCACGCGCUUGUUUUAUUAAACUCCAAUUUGUUUCUGUCUUGUACUAAUUGAGAUGUUGAAAUAUCAUUGCCUGUCUGGCUUAAAAGUAUGCCAUUCUAGAUAUCGGGCAACUUUGUGAAGGGCAAUGCAUGUUCUAAUUUCACGGUGUUGAUUUUGCCCUGUUGGCUAAGCUUGAGGGGUAUAAAAAGGUACUAUUUACAGAGUAGUUUCUGCCGUUUGCACAAUGCAUGAAAGGACACGCAUUGCCUUUCACACAGUUGCCUGAUAUCCAGUAAUGGCAUACUUUUUCUUGGGGCUUUUGAGGGUUUUUAUCUGUUGACGAAUCAGCUCUCUCUCUAGAAAUUGAACUCGCUGAAUUCACCUGACUAGAUGCAGGGAUCUUGGGUGUUUGUCGGCAUGCCUAAUGCUGUUAAGGUGAGUGGUUGCCUGAGUCUCCUUUGUCCUUUGUUAUAAUUUUCUUUGGCGAAUAUUGAAUUAGUGAGCUAGCUUUAAUUUAUUGCAUUCUCUUGUAUCUCUUGUAGGUAUGGAUUGUAGGUAUGGAAUAUCUAGAAUGGUGCAAGCUAUGAUGUCAGUGGACCAGUUGGACAGGGCCAUCCCUGGAAGUUGCUAAUAACAUGCUUUUUGGUGGAGCCCAGGUAAUUUGUUAUUAGAAAGAAGUUAAUGUCAAUUUAGUUGAUCUAUCUGCUGAAAUUUUUUCUAGUCUAUUUCUUUAGAAUCUCGCUCUAAGUCAUAUAAAAGAUGAUGCUGAGUGUGAGGUUGGAUUUUUGGUUUAGACCUGAAAUUCUUUUUUUCUUCUUCUUUACGUCUGGCCCACCAUCAAUUAAAUUGAAUUAAUAUCACAAAAAAUCACAAAAAUUAUACAAUUAUGAAAUAUGGAGUAAAAUCUCAAAUCGAUACAUCAUUUAACUGUCACAUAUAAUCAAAUUUAGUAAUUUGAUAAUAUGGUAACUUUAUCAUAAAUAUAUUAAUUUGGGAUCAAUAUAUUAAAGGUGAAUCAAUUUAAAUUUUUUGAUAGUAAAAAAAGUAGCUUUGAUUAAAUUUAUUAUAAGUGUAUAACAUUCGGAUUUUUUUAGAAUAUUAAUUUUAUUUAUUUUGGUUCUGGAAGGGCACAAUUGUCUUUUCAACGGAUUCUCUCUUCAAUGCAUUGUCUUUUCAGCCACUUGAUUUUUCUUGAUCUUAUCAUUAGGUGGGACAGAAGGACAUGCAAAGUGGACGAAUAGAAACAGAACGAAAUCUUAUAUCAGGUACUUUAAUAAAAGGUUUGUCUAGUUCGAGGGGAGACAAUUUGAAUUAUUGUGAAUUAAGAAAACUCAACUCGCCAAAAAUAAGAAAAUCUACAUUUAAGUUUGGAUUGUGCUAGAUUAAAGUAAAUCCUAAUUUUGAACGUUGGAGAUUCUAAUUAAUUUUAAUAUUGUGAUUGUGUGUCUCGAUCGAUGUUUAGACUAUUGUAACGUACAAGGAUUUGUCAUGCAAAUAUUAAGGAAGAAGUUGGAACCGUUUUUUUAUCAUAUAAAAGAGAAGCGAAUAUGGUUGGAAAGGGCAAUGAGGUACUCGACGUGCAUGUGCUUGCAUGGUAUCUUGACGUAUUACAUUGAUUAUGAGAUUACUCUUUUUAUUAUUUUGGGUAACAUAAGAUUUCUAUGUUUUCAAAUUCACGAAUUUUUGAAAAAAGGAAACUUACCUUGUUAGAUUGAUUCCUCAUAAAAGCGUGAGCUCGAUAUAAAUAAAUUAAGCAAAUUAUAAGAUAGUCUCUUUAUCAUUAAACGGAAAAGACUUCAUGCUUAGAUCAUCCAUACAAAAAUUGAAAUUGCAUUUUACCUAAUUUGUGAAGUUAACAUGGUACUAUGUAGACACUGCCUUUUCAGGCUUUCUUGUUUAGAAAAGGACACGAGUCCGCGCCGACUUUGGCUGGUAAAGAAUUUGGUUCGCGAGGUGUCCAGAUUCAUUGUGCACGCCUCUCUUUCUUCUUGCUUGUUCCACGCCCAUAACACUAUAAAGUCUAUAACAAUCCUGAUAGCAUCAAGGAUAAUCCUACAUCAUGAGAUUUGUUCAUUGAUUGGUUUUAACUUGCUAUUCUCUCACCCUUCAUCAACUGGUAACAGAAAUAUCAUCUUCGCAGACUUUAACAAGUAAUCUGCCAAGUAAACCUCAUCUCAAUUCCGAGGAAAUCUUCGAGGACAUAUAAAAUAUUUGAUUUCAGAAAAAUGAGCAUCAACUUUGGUUUGGCUUUAUAUGCUCCAUUGCAAGAAUAGAAAAGGAAAAUUAUACUUUUCAUCAUUUAUUUUUGCCGAUUCUCUAAUUAAGGGUGCGUUUGGUUCAGUAUUUUGAAAGCCCAUUGGGAAAAUGUAAAGUAGUUUAGCGUAAAGGACUUUAGGCAAAUGCAAAGACCGUUUGGUAAACUAUACUUUGAGAAGCAACUUUGAAAGAAAUGCCCUUUGGUAGAAAACACAUUUGAAAAGCUCUUUGGAUAAUUAAUAUUUUUUUUUUAAAUUUUAUUUGUUUAAAAUUGAAAAAAAAUAAUGUAUGCAAGUUUUUAAAUAUAAAUUUUGACAAUAAUACUAAAAAAAAUCGAAUACAUACAUAAUUUUUUUGGAAAAGGAAAAUUAUACUUUUCAUCAUUUACUUUUGCCGAUUCUCUAAUUAAGGGUGCGUUUGGUUCAGCAUUUUGAAAGCCCAUUGGGAAAAUGUAAAGCAGUUUAGUCUAAAGGACUUUAGGCAAAUGCAAAGACCGUUUGGUAAAACUAUAUUUUGAGAAGCAAUUUUGAAAUAAAUGCCCUUUGGUAGAAAACACAUUUGAAAAGCUCUUUGGGUGAUUAAUAUUAGUUUUUUUUUAAAGUUUUUAUUUGCUUAAAAUUGAAAAAAAAUGAUGUAUGCAACUUUUUAAAUAUAGAUUUUGACAAUAAUGCUAAAAAAAUCAAAUAUAUAAAUAAUUAAAAAAACCAAAAUAUAUUUAAUUUUUUUAGCAUUUAUAUAUAUUUGACUUUUUUAGCAUUAUUUUGGCAUUUAAAACAAUAAUAACGAGAACAAAAUCAGAAAUUUGAAGAAUGAGUGAAGAUAGUUUUGUAAAAAAAAAAAAGUUUCAGUAUUUGGCCGAAUGCUGAAAGCCCAAUGCUAGUCCCUACUAGCAUUGGGCUUUCAGCAUUCCCAAUACUAAUUUUCACUUGAAAGCUACUUCACAGUCUAACAUUUCCUCAAUGGGCUUUAGAGGCUAAAAGCUUCUUGGGAAUGCUGAACCAAACGCACUCUAAGUCCCUAUAGUUUCGACUUGUCUAAUCAAGUCUUCUAUGGAUUGAGAAGUCAAUUAGGUUUGACCCAAAUUUGGGUUAGGCUUUUGGCACGACAGUCCCUUAGCCCUUGUCUUUUUGUCACGCCCUGAACCCUGAGUGCGUGUCCAUCGCUCUUUGGUCGAUAAAAUUUGUGACUUCCCAGGACGAGUCGCCGACCCAUUCAUUUUUAAGCACAUGCGGAAGCGAAAAUAAAUCCCCUGACAGUAAUCAUCUCGGGAUAGAAAAGCAGGACAUCAAUUCACAAAAGCAUACUUUUAUGAACAACGAGAUUCAAGUACAAAACGAGUUUAGUCGAAAGCCUACAAGAAGGUCGACUCUCAAAAGAGGUUGUCUUAUGACAUACUGACAGGACACAUCCGCCGAUCCUCCAUACUCCUCCUCCUCAGACUUCGGGGCCUUGGCCCUCCACGACCACAUUCUAAAGACCUAAAAAUGGUUAUUCAAUAACCAAUGAGACAAUGUCUCAGCAAAUCCACGCUCUAAACCCCGAUUAAGAGGGUAAUACGCCUAGAGGCGUCCUAACCACACAAUUACGCAUUUGGUAUAGAGGGCUUAUCUCGCUUCAGAUCCACCCUGCAGGUUAGUACAGUUUAUAUCACAGAUAACCAUAUCGAUAUGAGCAAUAAUUAAGCUCCAACAACUGGAACGCCACACUCAAUUCUCAAACUAGCAUAUGAGUCCUGAUUAUAGGGCCAAAUCGUUAUGACACGUCCCAUUCAAAGUCACACAAUUUUGUCCCAUAAUCCGGUGCAGAUAUUUCACUCAACACGCGUUUCAAUUGAUAAUUACGCCUGCUCUAGGGCAUGGCCUACUUGAAGUUCGGCGGUCUACUAGCGUAGCCAGGCAUCGUCUCACCCUAUUGAGCAUGGUUACGUCUCUCAAAGACGACUUUCCCAAAGGAGUAUAGGUCCAGCCUUUACUGCGACCCAAAUCCCAAUAAAUGAGUAUCCCAUAAAGGGUAACAUUCAUCCGACACAGUUCGGGGACGGGUUCUCUUAACCAACACACGACCAAUCAAUCUCGGCCCAGAACACCGUGCAUUGCACUCAAAUGCCUCAAUUAAAAUAGUGUUCCUGGCCUAUUUUCUUUGUAUUAAAAACUUCCGAUGAAAAAUAGUCAUGUGUGGGUACACGGUCAAAUUGGACCCGGAAAAUUCAUAACAUUCUUUUCAACAUCUCACUGGUUUAUAUAGUAUAUAAAACCAUUUUCGGUGUUUAAAACCCGACACCUGGAAUUUUCUGAAUAAAUAUCAAAAUUUACAAUUUUUGGAAUAAUUGACCAAAUUUUCAAUUAGCACUCAAAUUUUCACAAUUUAACACUCGAUUGUAGAAAUUAACUACAUCAUUACAAUCACCACGAAAUUUCGGUCACUGGCUACCCCUGCCUAAUUUUCGGAAAAUAUUUAAUAAUUAAACUAAUUACACUUAAAUAAAUCUAAACACCCCUUAAACGUUUAGUGCAUAAACUCACCGAUUUAGAGCAAAAACCAGUUCACGGUGACAACGAUGUGACGGUGACUGAAACUCGUGCCUACAGCGGUGCGGGAGGUUGGUGGCGGGUGGUGCGGCUGCUGUGGGCACGGUCGAGACGGCUGAAUCGGCACAGCAGUGGACGGUGGCUACGUGCGCGGCAAGGAAGAACGAUCCCCCUCUUCCUCUCUCUCUCGCGCUGGUUUUCUCUCUCUCUCUCGCUCGCGGUUUCGUUCUCGAGUCUUGUGUCUUCUCACGUCCAUGGCCGGUUUUGUUCCUCUUUUGAUUGACUAGUUUAGUCAACACAUGUAGGUGCGGUGGCGGCAAGAGGCGGAGCCGGGUGGAGAAGACGUGGGCCUUCAUCCGGGUCUUCUCUUGCCAGCGCAAGAGGAGCUGCUGCGUGGCUUCCGCUUGGUCGAGAUCCUCGGCUUCGCUGUCCAGCUGAAGAGAAGCCGACCUUCUGUUAGUUGACUUCAUGAGUCAACAAAGAGGAUCCCGGUGGCAGCAGGAGGCAGAGACGGGUGGGGAAGACGUGGACUUCCACCGAGAAUUCUGGCCAGCACUUCCCUUUCCUCAUGCACGGACGGAUUUUCCUACAUUGGUCAAUUAAGCAAGGUCUCGGUGGCCGUCGUUGAAGGGGACAACUCAAUGGAAUGCGCGUCUUCAUUUGCUGGUCGACGGUGAAGGAGCAACGUGGCUGCCAUUUGGUUCUUCUCGGUCAACAUUCCCUCUUUUGUUGACCAUCAAAGGAGCGUGACAUCAUCACGGGCAGUCCUUGAAUGCGUGGACAUAGCUGCAUGAAUUCUUCACGAGCAUGCAUGGGCGAGGGCUUCACUUAGUUGACUACUUGAGUCAACUAAGUGGUGUCGCGUUGGCAGCAAAUGGAGAGAACAACACCGGCGUGCACGUCUUCAUUUCUGCAUGAAGAAAGGGCCGCGGACGUACGCAUGGCCAUUGCAUGCUACGGGUCUUCAGCUCGGUUGAUUUGCGAGGCUGCUUGGGGUUAACAGUUUCCUUUGUAGUUGGCAACAUUGGACGUGUGCAUGAAGACGUCGGGUGCUUGCAUGAAAGGUUUGCUUUAGGAAGGUACAAAUGUGGAAGGGGCUGGUCUCGCGAGUUACGUAAGAAGAUUUUUUACGAGACGAUAAGCUAUACGAAAAUCGGAUCGUCUCGACGCGGCAAAGACGUGAUUACGAGGGUACGUUAUAAGACCAUCACGAAACGUGAUGUCUUGGUCUGGUGAUGGAAAUGAUGAAACGGCGGCCGAAAGUGGCGCCAACGACGCAGUCCGACAACAAAUUCGUCGACCUAUCACGAACCGUUACGUACUCGAGGUCCGGCGAAAAUUCGGAUGUCACACUUUUUUUAUUUAUUAGCUAGCCCCUAAACCCAUGGCAACUCCAAAACAGAAGUAACUUCUCCAAGCACACGACACAGAUGAAACACAUAUUCAGUAUUCAUGGUAUGUCCUAAUAUUAGGAGGUUGUACAGUGCCAUGAGAUGAUCAAUGAGAGCGACGUCUCCCACUAGGUUCGUAAGAAGCGGUAUACCAUUAUCAUUUCUAUAUCCAAGCUGAUGUGAGAAAUCAAAUCCCCAAGCCCAGUAAGUUUCAACAAUCAGACAAACUGAUUAAGGUACUCAUCCACGGUGGUGUAUUUGACGUCGGGGUACAGCUCUGAAGCUUCCACUCCAAACGACGGCUCAAUCUUGAAGUUAGUUUGGUCUCCUUUCACGAAAAUAGAAUGGGAUAUGGCCCACCUUAGAUCGUCUGGAGAUUUCGCAUCUGCAAUAUAAGCGGACAAAUAGACCAAUCGAUGUCAAGUAGAGGAUAGAGACAAUUUCCACGUGCUUAAAUCUAAUAGUAACGCAUCUGUGACCUCGAAUUUGCUUCAGAAGUUGCUCCUCUGGAAUAUAAACCCUCUCCAGGGUCUUGCCAAUCUUUCUCUCCCACAAAGACACGAGAUCAUUCAUCGAGUAGGUGUUGGCAGGAGGUUUGAUGUACAGAAUUUUGUUCAAGGUCCUUGGAUCAUCCAUGGCUUUGAUGGUAUAGGUGCCAAUGUCAUCCUCCCUGUUAAACACCACUGUAUAUUGACAGAGAGAAUUUUAGUAUUUGGCUAAUUAAUACAUCACAAAAACUUCGAUUUUCCUAGAGUUACUUUCGGCUCACAUUUAAAGAACUCUCUUGAAAUAAAGAUUCAUCAGAGAUGAAUGCAUCCAUAUGUUAUUUUCUCAACUAGAUACAUAAAGAUAACCUUCUUAAUAUGCUAACCAGGAGGUAUUGUGCCAAGAUAACCAACAUCACUUUCAUAUCAUUUAUUAGUCUCCAGAAGUCAAGACUAAUGGAUGUAAAAAGCUCGACAUCUCUAGAUAGGGAGUUGCCUCAAAAUUCUCAAGCUUGAGGAACUGCUCUCAAUCUCAACACUCCCGUAAUUAAAUCAUAAAAAUUGUAUAGCAAAAUCCUGAGCAGUCAGGAUACGUAUUUCAACAAAUUGCUUCUUACCUUUUGCAUUACCAUCCCCUAAGAUGACAACUUUAUCUCUAGAGGGAGCUGUAGCCCCAGGCUGUGCCAAUGUCGAACGGUGCCAACCUGCUAGAAAGUUACAAGACACAUAGGUAUACGGGAUUCCCUGUUCUUCAAGAAGGUGGAGAAUAUCGGUAUAGUAAGCAGCAUAAAAAGUUCUUGCUGGCUCCACAGCAUGGGCACGAUCCACAUGACUUCCAAACACUGAAGGCAAGAAUCUCUAAAAAGAAAAAUAACCAAAUCAAAAGAAACAUUUCUAUUGGAAAGCAACGAAAAUUUAGAGCACAUUCCCCUUAUCCAACAAAAUUAUACGAGUUCUGGCAAAAUAAAACAAAACAAACUUAUAUGAGAAUGAAGUACUUUUUUUUUUUUUUGGGUCAAUAUGUUGCUAUAACAAAGUAAAACAUGACCAUAAGUGAGAAAACAGAUCCAGCGAUUAAGCAAAUUCUACCCCAAGUGCUAUUAGAAAAAUAGAAGAAAUAGAAAGUGAAAAUUCCAAUGUAAGGCAACAGCCAGAUAACUCUGUCGAGUAUAAAAUAUGCAAAUAUGCUGCUUGCGUGGAUGGCACUUUCACAAGUGAUAAGAUAUCAGGUAAGUGUAUUGCCUUUUGGGAGCAUGCUGAGUUCCACUCAUCGGUGACCGUUUACCACCCGAAGCAACAACAAUUACUACUAAGUACUAUCCCAGUAAGUAGGGCUGGGGAACAUAUAUGCAAAAAUAAUACUCCUGAAAAAGACCAUUUCAAGGUUAAACUAGUUCAUGUUCCCUGCGAAUUCAUGAUCGAACAGCUCGGAUACACGUCCAUAGUCCAUAUUGAGUGCACGAAACAUGUGUUUUUUUCGCCGACCUACAGGAAACCCAAACACAGGUUCUGGAUAAAUAUACAUAUGAAGCCUCCUGGAGUACGUGGGUAGCGCAAUAUGAACACUGGGCUACACUUGGAUGUGAAAUAGUUAUUCUCAAAUUUCAUCGAAGACUUCUACACAAAGUCAUGACCAAAAGAUGUGAAGUCUACAGAUAUGUAAGUCAAUGCAUCCUAUUUCAUCAAAACGAAGCUCGCAAGGAGAAGGUGAUCCACUUAUACCGGAAGGAAAGAAUUAAGCUAACACAACCUGUAUCAUCAGUCAAAUGCUAAACAAACAAUGAUUACGAGGACAAAAUCAUUCGAAACAGCGCCACCUUUAUAUUUCCGACCAUCGUAAUGGCAGCAACAAUCUUGUAUUGGUCCUCUGUUGAUGUCUCAACGGUAGAUACCACCACAUCGACCUUCCUGAUCGCAGUCAACAUAGUAUCCGGAUCGUCUAUAUCUCCCUGAGAAUCAAAGGACCAAGAGCAUGAACCAACAAUCGAUGAAGUCAGCAAUCAUCAACAAAUCCUGGUUUGGCAGUGGGAUUCAUAACCGAUGAAGAUAAGACUUCGAUACCUUUAUCAGACAAGAAAAAAAUACGACGACAAAUAAAAAAAAAAAAACAAGCCACUAUCCACAGAAUUCUCGUCCAUGGCAUCUGAACAACAGGUCAGAGCAGCUACUACGUAGCUAUAGCUGUCUCAUAAACAGCUAAGACAUAAGGAAGUUUCUGUAAGAUUUGCCUGAAAAUGCGCUCGUUCGAAUCGACAUGGAAAGCUGAGAUGAUUCGUCACAAAAAAUUUCACCUUUUUCACGAACAAAGACAAAAUAUCAGAACAGUAAUGAACAACGCCAAAUCGCAACGUGACUCCUAUCAACUCGAUCGAGUGAGAGAUCGAGACGAAAAUCAGCUCCGAUUCUACUGCUGAAGACAUUUCUCAGGACGACGAGCAAGAUUCAACGGCAGGCGAGGCUUUGAUUCCUCGAAGCAGGACCAGAUGUCGGGUACGAACGCGAUCGCAAGGGCAUAGCUUCUCACCUGAACCACACGGACGCCUAAGCUCUUGAAACCUUCGACGAGGUCGGCCUCGGCAGGGUCGGACGGAGUGGACGGCGGUGCCAGGAGAGCGAAGGUAGGGUGACCGGACUUAGCACUCGCUUCCACGACGAACUUUCCGAUGAGUCUGGUCACUCCGAUCACCAGGACUUUGCUCUUCUCCGCCAUCUCGGAGUGGCUUUUCACGGCGGAGUCGGUGGAUUUUCUCCGGCGAGCUCGCUCGGUCUCCUGAGCGACUCUGCUUCCAGCUGCUUGUAAGAAAGGGAGAGAGCGCGCUAAAAUGAGGAGGUCCUUCGCGUGGAAGCCCAUUUAUAUUUUGAUUCCAGAAGGGCAUAAGCGUCUUUUCCGUGAAGUUGUCUUUCCAGCGAAUUGACUUCCCUCGAUCUGAUCCUUCACGGGAAAAUAGUGCGCUGUUACAUUUAUCUUAAAUUAAUUAGUUUGAUCUAUAUAAAAUUCUCAAACGGAUUUAUUAGUGCUAUAUUUACCACAAAUUAAUUUUUAAUAUCUUAAAUUAGGAAAAAAUUGUGAUAGAGGUGACUUGAGUGUAACAAUGUAGGAUUUUUUGCAAUCUAAAAUUAAUUUUCGGUACAUACGACACGCAUGUAAAUGUUAAGAGUUUUUUGUAUUGCUAGUCUUGAAAAAAGGAAGAAAAUCAUAUUUAAAUUACUUUAAUCACGAUAUUAUCUAGCUUGAGAGAUGAUUUAUAUUGUCGGGAUUAUUGAUGCGACAUCCUAGGCAUGAGCAUGUGGAAGCGUGUCCAUCAAUGAUCUCUAAGACAACACAAUAAACAACAGCCAGUAAAAGACAUCACAAACGUACUACUUUUAUAUUACAUUAAUAUAUUACAAGCCCUUUCUCUAUAGAACAUAUCUUUUUCCACCAUGCUAUAUCUAUUUGCAUAAGCUUGAGGUAUCCCUAUCUCCUCUAUGGAAGUUGAAGCUCCAAAAUUGGUAUCCAUACCUUCAAGUCUGAAAGAUAAAAGAGUGAGUCAAUGACUCAACAAGUGACGUCACUAAUCCUCAUAUAAGAGGACAGCUUGUCAUCGAAUCUAGCAUGCAAAUAUUACUUGCACUACAACAUCGAUGGCAAAUCAAUAACAAUUCCUUUGCUAUACCUUAAUUAUAUGCAUGUGAUCAAUUUUGGCUUAUCAUCAAUGCAUGAGCAUGUGGAAGCGUGUCCAUUAAAGAUCUCUAAGACGACACAACAAACAACAGCCAGGAAAAGACACCACAAACGUACUACUUUUAUAUUACAUUAAUAUAUUACAAGCCUUUCUCUACAGAACAUAUCUUUUUCCACCAUGCUAUAUCUAUCUGCAUAAGCUUGAGGUAUCCCUAUCUCCUCUAUGGAAGUCGAAGCUCCAAAAUUGGUAUCCAUACCUACAAGUCUGAAAGAUAAAAGAGUGAGUCAAUGACUCAACAAGUGAAGUCACUAAUCCUCAUAUAAGAGGACAACUUGUCAUCGAAUCUAGCAUGCAAACAUUACUUGCACUACAACAUCAAUGGCAAAUCAAUAACAAUUCCUUUGCUAUACCUUAAUUAUAUGCAUGCGAUCAAUUUUGGCUUAUCAUCAAUGUAUGAUCUACCUCAAACUUAUCAAACAACACACAACAACAUGCACAAAGGUUCAUUAACUGUCUCAAACGAUUCUUCCCAUACUUUCAAGGGAUUCCAACAUCAAGCGAGGCAUUUGACCAUCAAGCUAAGCAUCUCAUAUUUUCAAGGACUUCUUGACUCAAUCAAGGUAUCCUGUUCUCGUGAAUGAGGCAUCCUCUUGGCAUAGAGGCUUAUCGUUCUCAUUAAAGAGACAUCUUGUUGGCGUGGGGACAUCUCAUUCUCAUGAAUGAGGUAUUGUCACCAUCUCAACGGGCGACAACAUCCCAUUGGCGUGGCGUCAUCGUCGUUACCUCAAGUGGCAACAGUUCAUAUAUUUCAUUAGGUGAUCACAUGUUCUACAUUGCACAAAUCGAUUUAUUAUCUUUAAUUUUAGCUAGUGCAAACAAGGUCCGAAAGCGUGCUCAUACAAGUGCGUGCGUGCGUCAUGACCUAUAACAUUGUUACUUUACUACUAUGCUGAGCAUGACAUGUGACUUGUGGCUCGAAUUGACAUGCUCAAGCGCCGACCCAAAGCCAAGCGAGGCUCAAAUUGACAUGCCUCAAUGCCGAUCUAAGGCCAAGCAAGGUUUAGUCCGUCACGCCUCAACAUCGAUUCCAAAACUGAGUAAGACUCAUCCGUGACUCGUGGCGUGAUUGUACUUAUGAAUGCAAGACAUGAGCAAACCAUACAAAAUCAAUCCUCAUCAUGCACACGACCACACACGGGUGAGCACAUAACUAAAUCCAACAACGUAACGCAUCGCUCUAAUUAAGGGUUAGAAAUUCUACUUAUAACUACAAGGACAUGAGCAAACCAUACAAACAACCAUCAACAUGCACACAACUAAGCACAGAUGAGAACACAGCCAAGCCCAACAACGCAGCACAUUGCCCUAGCUGAAGGUUAGAGAUUUCACUUACGACUUGUCCAGGUGGUGGCCAAUGGCCAAGCGAUGGCAAAUUGAUGAGGGUUGAAUGGCGAGAGAGGGAAUGGUCGAGAGAGAGGGGGGAGGGACGUGCAAGAGAGGAGAGGUGGAAGAAAUGAGCCAAGGUGGGGAAAUGAAGGGUUGGUGCUUUUAUUUAUAGGCAAAACCUCAAUGAUUGCCUUUUCCAAAUGAUCUAAUAACUUCUUUAGGUGGCAAGGCUAAUUAGGAGAGAUGGCACCCCAAUAGCCUAGAGAAAUGAUUAAAGUCCUAAAAGUGUCUCUUAUUGGUCACUUAGCCAUAAGUCAUCGCCUUAAUGAAGAAAUUAUCUUGAAGAGGUGGCACGCCUACCUUGAUGAAAUGGCGUCCUAAGGCCCUAGAAGAGCACUUGCCAUUCUUCUCAUUAGGCCACCUAUGUCAUGAGUCAUCUUUCAAUAAUAACUUGGCUAAACUUGCUCUCCAAGACGAUAUCUUAAUGUAAUGAUAACCUCAUUUCUAUAAGGACACCCAAGCUUAUGACUCAUUCUCUUCAUUAAUUGCUUAGAUUUGGUGUCAUCAUAAGGCUUGGAUUUUUGUCGCAUGUUAGACUAUUUGUUCUCCAAGUUGAACUCAUUUCUCGCCACUUGGACAUGUGAGUCAUCCCUUUUAUUCAGUUACUAACUUCCAAAAAACAUAAUUAGAUUACUUGUUCUUCAAGUUAAACCCCUAUCUUGCCACUUGAAUGACAACUCAUUCUUAUAUGAGUUACCUAAGAUUUAGUUAUAAUCGGCUUUGGAUUUAGUCACAUGUUUCUUGUUUCUCAAGUAACUUGCUACUUAAGUUGUCAUAUGUAAUCAUGACCAAAUCCUCUUCCUUGCCACCCAAGUUCCUUACCACUUAAGUUGAUGAGUCAUUCUCUUCAUUUAUGGACUAACUUCCAAAGAACAUUUUGUAAACAUGAGAAGGAAGCUGAUGGAAGUGCCAAGAUUAUUGUGUGAGAGCUUUUCAUGUUCAUCCACAAUCAAUUGCACCAUUCGAGUUGAGGUUUGUGGCUAAUUCACAACUGGUCGAGGCGGGAUGUAGCCAAGCCUGACCGUUGUGGCUAGUUCAAUGGCCUAUCCUGGCUAGCGCAUGGCCAGAGUUGGCCGGACAUAGGGCCAAGCUAAUCGGGCUUAAGGCCAGCUCAUGGCCUAGCAUAAGGCCUGGCUUAUGGCCUGGCACAUGACCGGGUGGCAAGGUCGCUAAGCUGAUCCAUGACCGAUCCUUGACUAGUCCGUGAUCCAUCGCAAGUGAUCCUUGGAGUGGUCCUUGGGGCACACUGAUUUAUAGCCAUUUCUCAUGGGCUAAAACUGUAGACAUUACAACUUAACUUGCCAAAAAUAUGAAAAUCUAAAUUAAAGUUUGGAUGGUGUUUGAAAUUUAAGUAAUCUUAAUUUUGAAGUGUUAAAAAUAUUAUUUAAUUUAAACUGUAGCUUGCUUUUUUAAUUGAUAUUAUACUAUUAUAAUUUACCAUAAUAUCCAUUGUAAUUGAUAACAAAGAAGUUGAGACUGCCUUUUAGGUGUACUUUAUCAUAUGAAAUAAUAAGAAAAAAUGGUAUGAGAGGGCAAUGAGCUGCUUGACAUGCAUUUACAUACAUACAUACAUACAUACAUAUAUAUAUCAUGGAGUUCCAUAAUCCAUAUAUGAUUGUUUUCAGGUGCAAAUUCUUUUUUCCAGUAGAGUCAAUCACAUAAAUUAAUUUUGUAACUUUUUGGCCAACAAAAGAUUAUCUUAUAAAUAAUUCAAAACUUCUUGAAGAAAGGAGAGGUAAAUUAUUAGAUUGGUUCAUUGAUUGAAUAGGGAGCACGAUGUAGACAUAUAUAAAUGAUAAUCUCUUUAUCAUUAAAUGCGAAAGAUUUAAUGUUUAGAUCACCUUUUCGAAAUUGAAAUGGCUUAUCUUUUGAGUGUUUGUUUAGCCAAAAAGGGUUUCGUACAAUUUGUUUUUGAUAUUUUUACCUGCUUAGUUACCAAAAAUGGAUUGAUUAUCGAAAAAUCAUUUACAAUGAAGGAAAACAUCCAUGCUCAAAAACAAGGAAACUUUUCUCUAUUCUCAAAGAGAGGAAAUCAUUUUAAAGUUAAUGACCAAAUGAGAACUAAAAAUGAUUUCUGCAUAAAACGUCUCUAAAUGGGUUUACCUAUGAUAAAUUUACCUAAAACUAAUUUUUCAACCAUCAAAAACUCAAAAUUGAUACAUACGUGACAAAUUUAUCUUAAACUAAUUUUUUGACCACCAAAAACCUUAAUCUAGUACAUUUAUGAUAAAUUUAUCCCCUAUGAAUUUUCGUUAAAUUAAAUCAAUGCCAUGAAAAAAACACAAAUUGAUAACAGAAAGUAAAACUCCAAAACUAGUAUAUCUGUCAACUAUUUAUGCCAUCUAACUUAGCAAUUUGAUAGUAAAAUUUAAUAAAAACUAACGGAUGGUAAAUUUAUCAUAAAUACACUAGUUUGGAAAUUUUAGUAUUAUUAAUUCUAUCAAAAAACCUACGGUAAACAAUGAGGAAAUUUUUCUCUACCCUUAAGAGAGGGAAUCAUUUUCAAGUUAAUGACCAAACGAUAGCUAAAAAUGAUUUCAGUACAAAACAUCUUUCUUAGACAUGUCGAAGUUUUCACUAAACAAAGCAAGUCUUCGUUUGCAGAGUCAACACGACAUUGCACCGCACUGCGGUUUCUCGAAAAGAGAAGGACCCAAGAGUCCACGCUGGCGGCGGCGGCAUGCAGAGUACGGAAGGAUUCAUUUAGUCAAGAACGAUAUCCACGAAUGAUCGGGCGUGGAGACAGGAUUCUAGUUCGAGAUUUGUUCCAGCUUCAUCAAGCAUUUGCCCUUUUCUUUUCUUUUCUUUUCUUUGUAUUGCCUUGUUCGCCGCCCAUGAGAGUCCUUAAACUUGUUAAUCUUUUAAGUUUAUCCAUAAUCAACUCGCAACAGUAGAUUUCUUCGGCUAAGGAAACCCAAAGUUUCAAUUACCUUGAGAUUUUCGUGGACAUAUAAAAAGUAUUUGCUUUCAUCACAAUAAUUGCCUACGGACCAUUUAGGCAUGGAAAACUAUUCGAUUUUGUUUAUUUCGAAAAAAAAUGAAUAAUUUUAGAAAUAUUUUUCUAAAAAAUAAUUGCUUGUAUAAUUUAAAAUAAUCGGUCGAUGAAAAAUAUUUUUAUUAUCAAUAAUAAAUUAUAUUUUUUUUGGGUAAGAUAUAUUUAAUUUUUUUUGUGAAUGAUAAAAAUAUUUUUCAUCCAUUUAUUUUAUAAGUGAAACAAGCGAUCAUUUUUAGAAUUUUUUUUUCCAAAUAAUUUAAUUUUCGCGAAACAAACGGAGCUUAAAGCAUGAUGAUCUUUUAGUAUAAGACGAUGAUUAGUAGCUCCAAUUCAAUAUCCACACCAGCGACAUAGAACGUAUAAAAUAUAGAAGGGUUUUGCUCGCAUGACAUUUUUUGGGUCAUUAUGAGAGUAACGGUAUACUGUGAGUUGUAAAUUCUUAGAGUGAAUCUUACAACAAUUAUUAAUUAUUAAUUUUUUUUAUGAUCCAUAACAAGCUAUUAAUACCAUAAUAGAUUUAAAACAAAUACAUGAAUAGAGAAAUCCAACGUCUUUCUUUAAGCUUGGCCCAUAAAACCCAUUAUCAACUCCAAAACGGAAGUAACUUCUUCAACCACCGCAUAGAUGCUGCACAUAUUGAAUGAUCCUAGUAUGUCCUCCUAUUUGGAAGCUGCACGUGCUAGGAGAUGAUCAGCGAAUUUCAGCGACGUUUCAAACUAGGAUCCUGGGAAGCAGAAUCCUAUACAACAUAGGAUUCAAGUAGAUGUGGAAAACGAAGGUAAUUGCACAGUAAUACCUACUCACACAAUCGCCUCGAUGCUCACAUGAAAAAAGAAUUUACGCCUGAGCUCUUGAAACCUUGGGCGAUGUUGGCCUUGGUGGGAUCAAGGAGAGCAGCCCCUUUAGCGAGAGGGUCAACGGACUGAGCGCUCGCUUAAACUUUGAACCUUCCGAGAUAUCCAGUGCCUCUGAUCACCAGGAGUUUGUUCUUCUUGGCCAUUGAAGGUUCGUCCCGGCGGCAGCAUGGUUUUUCCCGGCGAACUUGCUCGGUCUUGGACCAUAGCUGCUGGCGUGUUGGCAGGCUCCGAGAUGAAUCAUCAUCUGAUUUUGAUUUCAGAAGGGCGAAAAUGUCUUUUUAUGUGAACUGGUUUUUCUUGAUAUCGCCAUUAGCUGGAAAAGAAGUGCACGCAAAGUGGACUAAUAGAAACAGAAGAAAAUCUAAUAUAAAGUACUUCAAUAAAGAUUUUGUCAAGUUUGAGAGAUAAUUCAAAUUAUUGUGAAAAAAAGAAAAAUUAACUUACCAAAAAUAAGAAAUUCCACGUUUAAGUUUGGAUGGUGCUAAAGAUUUGAGGAAUCUUAAUUUUGAAGGACUGGAGAUUCUAAUUAAUUUUAUUAUUAUGGUUUUGUUUCUUGAUUGAUACUAGACUAUUCUAACUUACAAUGAUUUUUCAUGUAAAUAUUAAGGAAGAAGUUGAAAUAGUUCUUUUAUAUCAUAUGAAAAGUGAAAAUGGUAUGAAAGGACAAUAAGUUAUUCCACACGCAUGUGCUUGCCUGGAAUCAUGACGACCGUUAAAUGAUUGUUUUGAGGAAAAGGUAAGUGAAAUUGGUAUGAAAGGGCAAUGAGCUAUUUGACGUGCAUGCACUUGCAUGGUAUCAAGACAUUUCAUAUCGCUAAAUGAUUGCUUUGAGGUGCACUAAAUUCUUUCCAAAGGCAGUGUCGAUCAAGGCACUGUUUGGUAACGUUUUUGUUUCUCGAAACAAAAAAAGUACAUAAAUCCGUUUGGUAACGUUAAUUAAUUUUUCUAUUCCCUAAAAUAAAAAGUGGCAAAUGAAUAGAUUUGGAAUAAAAAUAAGAAGUAGAAAAAAAGUAGAUUCUUGUUCCCGGGAACAAUUUUUAGAAAUAAUUUAUUUUCUCUUUUCUUUUCUUCUUUUUUUCUUAUUUGCCAGUCGCCACCCCCUUCUGCUGCUUGCCAUCAGUCGACCACUACGACUGGCCGGCUGUCGCCGCCGGCUACUGACCCUCGCUGCCGAUGACCACCAACAACGCCACCCGCCACCCGUUGCCACUAAUCAUCACCGGCGGGGGUUGGCAAUGGGCAGCGAUGAUCAACGGCCGGCGGCUAGCGGCAGCAGUGGUCGGCGAUUGGCAACAAUAAAGAAGAAUAAGAAAAAAUUAAAAGAAAUUUUAUAUUACUAUGAAUCGUACCAAACACAUUCCUAUUAUUUUUCCAUUUCGAGGAUAGAAAUUUUACAUAAUUAUCAAACGUAUUCUUUUAUUGAGAAAUUGUCUCAAGGAAUAAAAAUAGAAAAAGACUAUUUCUAAAAAGAAAUUGUUCUCCGGAACAGAAGUGUUACCAAACAAAUCCUAAGAGUACUCUUUAUGAUUUUCCAAGGAACAUAAGAUUUCUAUGUUUUCAAAUUCAUGAGUUCUUAAAAAAAAUGAGACUGAGGUUUUUAGAUUGAUUCCGCCACUAAAGAGUGAGUUCAAUGCACAUAUAUUAAGCAAGUAGUAAGAUAGUCUCUUUAUCAUUAAAUGGAAAAUAUCUAAUGUUUAAAUCGUCCAUAUGAAAUUUGAAAUUGCAAUUUACGUAAUAUGUGAAGUUAACACGGUACUAAGUAGACACCGCCUUAUUGGACUCUCUUGUUUAGGAAAGGAUAUGAGUCCUCACUCUCAACGUUUAGUAAAAAAUUUGGUUCGCAAGGUGUCCAAAUUUAUUGUGCAUGCCUCUCUUUCUUCUUGCUUGUUCCAUGCCCAUAACAGUCCUCAAAUCAUUAAGGAUAAUCCAACACCGCGAGGUAUUCAUCCAUGGGUUUUAACUUGCUAUUCUUUAAGCUUACCCUUCACCAAGUGGCAACAAAAACAUCAUCCUUGUUUUUUUGGUCGGUAAAACAUCAUCCUUGCUGACUUCUAUAUAUAUAUAAUCUGCUAAGUAAACCUCGAUUUUAGAUUCCGAGGAGAUCUUCGAGGACAUGUAAAUUACUUGAUUUCAAAAUUGUGCAUCAACAAUGCUCCACUACGAGAAUAAAAACGGAAGAUUUAUACUUUUCACCCCUCUACUUUUUCCGAUCCUCCAAUUAAGUCCGUGUACUUUCAAUUUGUCUAAUUAAGUCAAUUAGGUUUUACCCAAAUUCGGGAUAGGCUUUUGGCACGACACCAUAAACCCUCGUCCUUUUUUUAUUUGUUAGCUAGCCCCCGAACACAUAGCACCUCCAAAACAGAAGUAACUUCUCUAAGCAUACAGCACUGAUGAGCACUUAUUCAGUAUUCAUAGUAUGUCUUAAUAUCUGGAGGUUGUACAGUGCCAUGAGAUAAUCAAUGGGAGCGAUGUUUCCCACUAGUUUCGUGAGAAACUAUAUACUAUUACCAUUUGUGUAUCCAAGCUGAUGUGAGAAAUCAAAUCCCCAAGAACAGUAAGCUUCGACAAUCAGACAAACUGAUUAAGGUACUCAUCCACGCUGAUGUAUUUAACAUCAGGGUAGAGCUCCGAAGCUUCCACUCCGUACGACGGCUCAAUCUCGAAGUUAGUUUGGUCUCCUUUCACGAAAACAGAAUGGGAUAUGGCCCACACCAGAUCGUCUGGAGAUUUCACAUCUGCAAUAUGAGCGGACAAGUAGACCAAUCGUUGUCAAAAGGUUUAAAUCUCAUAGAGAAUAGAGACAAUUUUUACGUGCUCAAAUCUAAUAGUAACACAUUUGUGACCUCGAAUUUUCUUCAGAACUUGCUCCUCUGGAACAUAAACCCUCUCCAGGUUCUUGCCGGUCUUUCUCUCCCACAAAGACACGAGAUCAUUCAUCGAGUAGGUGCUGCCAGGAGGUCUGAUGUACAAAAUUUUGUUCAAGGUCCUAGGAUCAUCCACAGCUUUGAUGGUAUAGGUGCCGAUAUCAUCCUCCCUGUUAAACACCACUGUACAUUGACGGGAGAAUUUUAGAAUUUGGCUAAUAAAUAUAUCACAAAAACUUUGACCUUUCGGCUCUUAUUUAAAGAACUCUCUCAAUAAAAAGAUUCAUCAUGGACGAAUGCAUUCAUAUGUUCUUUUCUCAACUAGAUACAUAAGAUAACCUUCUUAAUAUGCUGACCAGGCGGUAUUGUGCCAAGAUAACCAACAUCACUUUUAUAUCAUUUAUUAGUCUCCGGAAGUCAAGAAUAAUGGAUGUAAAAGACCCGACAUCUCCAGCUAGGGGAGUUGCCUGGAAUUCUCAAGCUUCAGGAAUUGUCCUCACUCUGAUUACUCCCGUAAUUAAAUCGUAAAAGUUGUACAGAAAAAUCUUGACGAAUCAGAAUGGGUAUUUCGAUGCUUCUUACCUUUCGCAUUACCAUCCCCUAAGAUGACAAUUCUCUCUCUAGAGGCAGCUCUAGUCCUGGGCUGCACCAAUGUUGAACGGUGCCAACCUACAAGAAAGUUACAACACACAUAGGUAUACGGGAUUCCCUCUUCCUCAAGAAGGCGGUGGAUGUCGGUAUAGUAAGCAGCAUAAAAAGUUCUUGCUGGCUCCACAGCAUGGGCACGAUCCACAUCACUUCCAAACACUGAAGGCAAGAAUCUCUAGAAAGAAAAAUAAUCCAAUCAGAAGAAAUAUUUCCAUUGGAAAGCAACGAAAAUUUGGAGCACAUUCCCCUUAUCCAACAAAAUUAUAUGAGUUCUGGCAAAAUAAAACAAAACAAACUUGAAAGUGACUGAAUUUCAUGUUUGUUUUUUUUUUGUCAGUAUGUUACUAUAACAGAGUAAAAACUGAUCAUAAGUGAAACAAUAAAUUCAGCAAAUAAGCAAAUUCUACCAUAAGUGCUAUUAGAAAAGUAGAAGAAAUGGAAAGUGAAGAUUUCAAUGUUAGGCAGCAGCCAGAUAACUCUGUCAAGUAUAAAAUAUGCAAACAUGCUGCUUGCUUGAAUGGACACUUUCACAGUGAUAAAAUAUCAGGCAAGUCCAUUGCCUUUUCGGAGCAUGCUGAGUUCCACUCAUUGUUGGCUGUCAACCACCCGCAGCAACAACGAUUACUACUAAGUACUAUCCCAGUAAGUGGGGUUGGGUAACAUACAUGCAACAAUAAUACUCCUGAAAAGGACCAUUUCAAGGUUAAACUGGUUCAUGUUCCUCGCGAAUUCAUGAUCGAAGCGCUGGGAUACAAGUCCAUAGUCCAUAUUGAGUGACUGAAACUUGUUAUGUUAUUUUUUUUUUUUUGGCUGACCUAGAGGAAACCCAAACCCACAGGGACUUCUACACAGAGUCAUGACCAAUUAAGAUGAAAAAAGAUGUGAAGUCUACAGAUAAAUGAGUCAAUGCAUCCCAUUUGAUCAAAUGAAGCUCACAAGGAGAACGCUAUGCACUAAUACCAGAAGAAAAGAAGUAAGCUAACACAACCUAUAUCAUCAGUCGAAUGCUAAACGGACAAUGAUAACGAGGACAAAAUCAUUAGAAACAGCACCACCUUUAUAUUUCCGGCCGUCAAAAUGGCAGCAGCAAUCUUGUAUUGGUCAUCAGGUGAUGUCUCAACAGUAGAAAUUACCACAUCAACCUGCCUCAUCACAUUCACCAGAGUAUGUGGAACGUCUAUGUCUCCCUGAGAAUCAAAUGACCAAGAGCAUGAAUAAACAAUUGAUGAAGUCAACAAUCAUCAACAAAUCCUGUUUCGGCGAUGGGAUUCAUAAUCGAUGAAGAUAAGACUUCAACACCUUUAUCAGGCAAGGGAAAAAAAAAAGAUCUACUAUCCACAGAAUUCUCCUCCGUGGCAUCUGAACAACAGGUCAGUGCAGUUACUACGUAGCUGUAGCUGUCUCAUAAACAGCUAAGGCAUAAGGAAGUUUCUGUAAGAUUUGUCUGAAAAUGCGCGCGUUCGAAUCAACACGCGAAGCUGAGAUGAAUCGUCAAGCAGUGAGAAAAUGAGAAGGACGUCAUAAAAAUUUCACCUAUUUCGCCAACAUACGAGGACAAAAUAUCAGAAAAGACAAUGAACAACACCGAAUCGCAACGUGGCUCCAAUCAGCUCGAUCGAGUGAGAGAUGGAGACGAAACUCAGCUCCGAUUCUACGGCCGAAGACGUUUCUCGGAACGACGAACAAGAUUCAACGGCAGGUGACGCUUUCGGUUCCUCGAAGCGGAACCAGAUGUCGGAAACGAACGCCAUCGCACGGGCAUAGCUAGCUACUCACCAGAACUACGUAGACGCCUAAUCUCCUGAAACCUUGGACGAAGUUGGUCUUGGCAGCGUCGGCCGGAGUGGACAGCGGUUCCACGAAAGCGAAGGUGGGGUGGCCGGACUUAGCACUCGCUUCCACGACGAACUUUCCGAUGAGUCCGGUGACUCCGAUCACCAGGACUUUGCUCUUCUCCGCCAUCUCGGAGGGGUUUUUCACGGCGGAGUCGGUGGAUUUUCUCCGGCAAGCUCCGUCGGUCUUCGCAGCGACUGUGCUUCAACUGUGUCUGCGAGAAAGGGAGAGAGCGCGCAAAAAAUGCCCGGGGCUCUUCUACACGGAGCCAAUUUAUAUAUUUUGAUUCCAGAAGGGCGUAAUUAUCUUUUCAAUGAAUUGUCCUUCCAGCCUAUUGACUUCUCGAUCUGAUCCUUCACCAGAAAAAAAGUGCAUGAAAUUAAUUUUCUAUUACAUUUAUCCUAAAUUAACUUUGUACCUAAAAUAUUCUCCAGCCGGAUACAAAUGUCAUCCCAAACUAAUUUUUAAUGUAAAAAAUUACUGCAAAUUUUGGACAAAUGUGACAUGAAUAUAACAAUAUAAAAAUUUUUGUGAUAUAAAAAUUAUUUUUUGGUAAAUAUAAUAUGGAUGUACUAGUUUGAGUUUUUUUUUUUUUUUAUGGUAUUAGUCCUGAAAAAAGAAAGGGAAGAAAAUAAAAUAUAAAGUAUUCUAAUAAUGAUGUUGUCUAAUUUGAGAGAUGAUUCAUUUUUUGUGAAAUGAGAAAAACUUAACUUGCCUAGAAUAACAAAAUCCAAAUUUAAGUUUGGAUGGUGUUAGAAAUUUAAGUAAUCCUAAUUUUGAAGUGCUAGAAAUACUGUUUAAUUGAAACUAUAUUUUGUUUUCUCAAUUGAUAUUGUACUAUUAUAAUUUACCAUGAUUUUUUAUGUCAUUGAUAAAAAAAGAAGUUGAAACCAUUUUUUAGGUUUACUUUAUCAUAUGAAAUAAUAAGAGAAAAUGGUAUGAGAGGACAAUGAGCGAUUGGACAUGCGGAUGCACAUAUAUACAUGAUAUCACGGAGUUUCAUAGUCGCUCUAUGAUUGUUUUGAGGUGCCAUUUCUUUUUUCCUGUAGGUUCAACCACAUUAGUUAAUUUUUUAACUUUUUGGCCAACAAAACAUUAUCUUGUAAACAAUUCAUAACUUAUUGAAGGAGACUAACCUUGUUAGAUUGGCUCAUUGAUUGAAUAGGGAGCAUGAUGCUAGUAAGUUAGACAUAUAUAAAUGAUAAUCUCUUUAUCAUUAAAUACGAAAGAUUCAAUGUUUAGAUCACCAAUUCGAAAUUGAAAGUGCAUAUCAUUUGAGUGCUCGUUUUGCUAAAAAGGGUUUACUGAAAUUUGUUUUCCAUAAUUUCACAUGCUUAGCUACCGCGAGUCUAGUUCGAGGGUUGUUCCAACUUCAUCGAACAUUUGCCUUUUUUCUUUGCCUUGUUUGCUCCCCGCAGUAAGAAUCCUUAAACUUGUUAUUCUUUUUAAGUUUAUCAUUCAUGAAAGGAGAUUUCGUCAGCUAAGGAAACCCAGAGUUUCAAUUAACUUUAGAUAUUCGAGGAUAUAUAUAAAGUAUUUGAUUUCACCACAAUGAUUGCCUAUAGACUAUUUAGACAUGAGAAACUACUCAACUUUAUUUGUUUAGUAAAAAAUGAAUAAUUUUAAAAAUAUUCUUCUAGAAAAUGAUUACUUGCAUAUUUUAAAAUGAUUAGUCGAUGAAAAAUGUUGUUAUUAUCAACAACAAAAUAUGUCUAAAUAUUUUUGUAAACGACGGAAAUAUUUUUUGUCCAUUUAUUUUAUAAGCGAUAUAAAUAAUCAUUUUUGAGAUAUUUUUUCUUAUAAAUUAUUCAUUUUUUGCGAAAUAAAUGAAGCUUAAGACACAAUUAUCUUUUAGUCUAAGACCAGGAAAUUAGGUGAAUUAUCGAACAUCAUUAGCGGCUCGAAUUCAAUACCCAACCGACGACAUAAAACGUAUAAUAUACAGAAAUAGAAAAAACUCAUAUCAAACUCCAAAAUAGAAGUAACUCCUCCAAGCACUGCAUAGACGCCUCGCACAUCGAAUGUUUCCAGUAUGUCCUCGUAUUAGGAACUUGCACGUGCCGUGAGAUGAUUAGCGGGAUGCGGAGAAGCAGAAUCCUAUAUAACUUACGGUUCAAGUUGAUGUCGGAACCGACGACAUAAAACGUAUAAUAUACAGAAAUAGAAAAAACUCAUAUCAAACUCCAAAAUAGAAGUAACUCCUCCAAGCACUGCAUAGACGCCUCGCACAUCGAAUGUUUCUAGUAUGUCCUCGUAUUAGGAACUUGCACGUGCCGUGAGAUGAUUAGCGGGAUGCGGAGAAGCAGAAUCCUAUAUAACUUACGGUUCAAGUUGAUGUCGGAAACGAACAUAAUUGCACCGUAGUGACAACUCACGACACGAUACACACAUGAAAAAUUUGACGCCUAAGCUCUUGAAACCUUCUUGUCCAAAAAAAAAAAAAAAAAAGCUCUUGAAACCUUGGGCGAUGUUGGCCUUGGUGGGAUCGGAGAGACCGGGGCUCCCUCACGAGAGCAAAGGUAAGGUGACCGGACUUAGCACUCGCUUCAACUAUGUACUUUCGAGGCAUGCAAUGCCUCCGAUCAUCAAUUAGCUGGAAAAGAAGUACAUGCGAAGUGGACUAAUAGAAACAGAAGAAAAUCUAAUACAAAGUUUAAGAUUUUGUUGAGUUUGAGAGAUGAUUCAAAUUAUUGCGAAAUAAGAAAAUUUAUCUUACUAAAAAUAAAAAAAUCUGCACUUAAGUUCAGAUGGUGCUAAAGAUUUAAGUAAUCUUAAUUUUGAAAGAUUAGAGUUUCUAAUUUAUUUUGUAUGAUGAUUUUAUUUCUCAAUCGAUAUUUAGACUAUUAUAACUUACAAUGAUUUUUCAUGUAAAUAAAAGUCGAAACCAUUUUUUGUAUCAUAUGAAAAGACUAGUGAAAACGAUAUGAAAGGGCAACGAGCUAUCCGACGUGCAUGUACUUGCAUGGUAUCAUGACGUUUCAUAUCGCUAAAUGAUUGUUUUGAGGUGCACUAGAUUCUUUCCAAAGGGGGGUUGAUCAAGAGAUUACUCUUUCUGAUUUUUUGGGCAACAUAAGAUUUCUAUAUUUUCAAAUUCACAAGUUCUUAAGAAAAGGAAACCGAGGUUUUUAGAUUGAUUCCGAUUCUAAAGAGUGAGUUCAAUGCACAUAUAUUAAGCACGUAAUAAGAUAGUCUCUUUAUCAUUAAAUGGAAAAGAUUUUAUACUUAGAUCAUUCAUAUGAAAUUUGAAAUUGCAAUUUACCUAAUUUGUAAACACGGUAUUAUGUAGACCUCGCCUUAUUGGACUUUCUUAAUUAGGAAAGGACACGAGUCCGCGCCCACCAUGAUUAGUAAAGAAAUUGGUUCGUGAGGUGUCCAGAUUCAUCAUGCAUGACUCUCUUUCUUCUUGCUUGUUCCACGCCCAUAACAGUCCUCGAAACAUUAAGGAUCAUCCAACACCGCAAGGUAUUCAUUAAUGGGUUUUAACUGGCUAUUCUUUAAGCUUUACCCUUCGACAACUGGCGACAAAAAUAUCAUCGUUGCUGGACUUCUAAAAAAAAAAAAUCUACUAAGUAAACCUCGAGUUUAGAUUCUGAGGAGAUCUUCGAGGCCGUACAAAGUAUUUGAUUUCAGAAAAGUGAGUAUCAACUAUACUCCACUACGAGAAUAAAAAAGGAAGAUUCGUACCUUUCACCCCUGUACUUUUACCGCUUCUCUAAUUAACUGCCUGUGCUUUCAAUUUGUCUAAUCAAGUCUUCUACGGGUUGAGAAGUCAAUUAGGUUUUACCCAAAUUUGGGGAAGGCUUUUGGCACGACACCAUAAACCCUUUUCCUUUUUUUAUUUAUUAGCUAGCCCCUAAACCCAAAACAACUCCAAAAUAGAAGUGACUUCUCCAAGCACACAGCACAGAUGAGCACAUAUUCAUUCAGUAUUCAUAGUAUGUCUUAAUAACUGGAGGUCGUACAGUGCCAUGAGAUGAUUAAUGGGAGCGACGUUCCACACUAGGUUCGUAAGAAGCAGAAUACUAUUACCAUUUCUGAUUCCAAGCUGAUGUGAGAAAUCAAAUCUCCAAGCACAGUAAGUUUCGACGAUCAGACAAACUGAUCAAGGUACUCAUCCAUGGUGCUGUAUUUGACGUUUGGGUAGAGCUCCGAAGCUUCCACUCCAAAUGACGGCUCAAUCUUGAAGUUAGUUUGGUCUCCUUUCACAAAAAUAGAAUGGUAUAUGGCCCACAUCAGAUCAUCUGGAGAUCUCGCAUCUGCAAUAUGAGCGGACAAGUAGACCGAUGGACAUCAAAAGGUUUAAAUAUCUUAGAGAAUAGAGACAACUUCCACAAGCUGAAAUCUGAUACUAAUGCAUCUGUGACCUCGAAUUUUCUUCAGAACUUGCUCCUCUGGAAUAUAAACCCUCUCCAGGGUCUUGCUGAUCUUUCUCUCCCACAAAGACACGAGAUCAUUCAUCGAGUAGGUGUUGGCAGGAGGUCUAAUGUAGAGAAUUUUGUUCAAGGUCCUUGGAUCAUUCAUGGCUUUCAUGGUAUAGAUGCCGAUGUCAUCCUCCCUGUUAAACACCACUGUAUAUUGACAGGGAGAAUUUCAGAAUUUCGCUUAUAAAUAUAACACAGAAACUUUGAUCUUCCUAGAGAUACUUUCGCUUCACAUUUAAAGAACUUUCUUGAAAUAAUUAUUUUAUUAGAGACGAAUGCAUCCAUAUGUUCUUUUCUCAACCAGAUGCAUAAAGAUAACCUUCUUAAUAUGCCGACCAGGCGGCAUUGUGCCAAGAUAACCAACAUCUCUUUCAUAUCAUUUAUGAGUCUCUGGAAGUCAAGACUAAUGUAUGUAAAAGGCCCGACAUCUCCAGAUAGGGGGUUGCCUGAAAUUCUCAAGCUUCAGGAACUACCCUCAAUCUGAUCACUUCCGUAGUUAAAUCGUAAAAAUUGUACAGAAAAAUCCCGACGAAUCAGAAUACGUAUUUCAACAAAUUGCUACUUACCUUUUGCAUUACCAUCCCCUAAGAUGACAACUUUAUCUCUAGAGGGAGCUGUAGCCCCAGGCUGUGCCAAAGUAGUACGGUGCCAACCCGCAAGAAAGUUGCAAGACACAUAGGUAUACGGGAUUCCCUGUUCCUCAAGAAGGCGGAGGAUGUUGGUAUAGUAAGCAGCAUAAAAAGUUCUUGCUGGCUCCACAGCAUGGGCACGGUCCGCAUGAUUUCCAAACACUGAAGGCAAGAAUCUCUAGAAUAAAAAUAACCAAAUCAGAAGAAACAUUUCUAUUGGAAAACAACGAAAAUUUAGAGCACAUUGCCCUUAUCCGACAAAAUUAUAUUAGUUCUGGCAAAAUAAAACAAAACAAACUUAUACGAGACUGAAUUUCUUUCUUCUUCUUUUUUUUUGUCAAUAUGUUACUAUAACGGAGUAAAAAAACGAUCAUAAGUAAAAUAAAAGAUUCAGCAAUUAAGCAAAUUCUAGCCCAAGUGCUAUUAGAAAAAUGGAAGAAAUGGAAAGUGAAGAUUUAAAUGUUAGGCGGCAGCCAGAUAACUGUCAAGCAUAAAAUAUGCAAACAUGCUGCUUGCUUGGAUGGACAUUUUCACAAGUGCUAAAAUAUCAGAGGAAAGUCCAUCGCCUUUUGGGAGCAUGCUGAGUUCCAUUCAUUGUUGGCUGUCAACCACCCGCAGCAACAACAGUUACUACUAAGUACUAUCCCAGUAAGUGGCGUGGGAUAACAUUAUGCAACAACAAUACUCCUGAAAAGGACCAUUUCAAGGUUAAACUAGUUCAUGUUCCCUGCGAAUUCAUGAUCAAAGCGCUGGGAUACAUGUCCAGAGUCCGUAUUGAGUGAUCGAAACUUCUUACGUUUUUUUCUUUGCUGACCUAGAGGAAACCCAAACACACAGGGACUUCUACACAAAGUCAUGACCAUUUAAGAUGAAAAAAGAUGUGAAUUCUACAGAUAAAUGAGUCAAUGCAUCCCAUUACAUCAAAGCGAAGCUCACAAGGAGAAGGUGUUGCACUUAUGCCAGAAGGAAAGAAUUAAACUAACACAACCUGUAUCAUCAGUCAAAUGCUAAACGAACAGUGAUUACGAGGACAAAAUCAUUCGAAGCAGCACCACCUUUAUAUUUCCGACCAUCGUAAUGGCAGCGAUAAUCUUGUAUUGGUCCUCUGGUGAUGUCUCAACUGUGGAGAUUACCACAUCAACCUGCCUGAUCGCAUUCAACAGAGUACCUGGAUCGUUUAUAUCUCCCUGAUAAUCAAAUGACCAAGAGCAUGAAUAAACUAUCGAUGAAAUCAGCAAUCAUCAACAAAUCCUGUUUUGGCAGUGGGAAGACUAAGAAAAGGAGAGAUUCAUACUUCAAGACCUUUAUCAGACGAAAAAAAUACUAUGACAAAUAAAAAACAAGCUACUACAGAAUUCUCGUCCAUGGCAUCUGAAGAACAGGUCAGUGCAGCUACGUAGCUAUAGCUGUCUCAUAAACGGCUAAAACAUAAGGAAGUUUCUGUGAGAUUUGUCUGAAAAUGCACUCGUUCGAAUCAACACGCGAAGCUGAGAUGAUUUGUCAGGCAGCGUGAAAAAUGACGAAGAGCAACACCAAAUCGCAACAUGACUCCAAUCAACUCGAUCGAGCGAGCGAAGGAGACGAAAAUCAACUCCGGUUCUACCGCUGAAGACGUAUCUCAGGACGGCGAACGAGAUUUAACGGCAGGUGACGCUUCGGUUCCUCGAAGCAGAACCAGAUGUCGGAAACGAAGGCGAUCGCACGGGAAUAGCUUCUCACCAGAACUACGUGGACGCCUAAGCUCUUGAAACCUUCGACGAGGUCGACCUUGGCAGCGUCGGACGGAGUGGACGGCGGUGCCACGAGAGCGAAGGUAGGGUGGCCGGACUUAGCACUGGCUUCCACGACGAACUUUCCGAUGAGUCCGGUGACUCCGAUCACCAGGACUUUGCUCUUCUCCGCCAUCUCGGAGUGGCUUUUCACGGCGGAGUCGGUGGAUUUCCUCCGGCGAACUCGCUCGAACUCUGUAGCGACUCUGCUCCAACUGCUUGUAACAAAGGGAGAGCGCGCGCUAAAGUGCCGGGGCUCUUCACGCGGAGCCAUUUUAUACUUUGAUUCCAGAAAGGCGUAAUUGUCAUUUCAAGAAAUGUCUUUCCAGCGAAUUGACUUUUCCCUAUCUGAUUUUUUUUUUUUUGAUCCGGGAACCACCGUACAGCCGGCAGCCGAGCUGACGGCGUAAACCCGGGACGAACUGAGCCACCACCACAGGCCCAGCUGCGGGUGAGUCGCUCAAUGGGGACACGGGGUUUCGAACCCUCUGGGGGAGUAAAGUUCUAGCCAUCGCGGCCACCACGGGCGGUGAUUCCCUAUCUGAUCUUUCAUCGCAAAAAAGUGCAUGAAAUUAAUUUUCUGUUACAUCUGUAUUAAAUUAAUUUCUUAUCCCUACAAAAUUUCCAAACUAGUAUAGUAGUGCCAUAUACGCCCAAAACUAAUUUCCAAUGUCACAAACUAGGAUGAUAUGAAUAUAACAAUAUAAAAUUUUUAUGAUAUAAAAAUUAAUUUUUGGUAAAUAUAACAUAAAUGCACUAAUUUGAGAUUUUUUUUUUGCGAUGUUAGUCUCGGAAAAAAAGGGGUAGAUAAUCAAAUAUAAAUUAUUUUAAUAGCGAUGUUGUCCUUGAAACUAGAAAAACUUAACUUACCAAGAAUAAGAAAAUCCAAAUUUAAGUUUGGAUGGUGUUUAAAAUUUUAAGUAAUCCUAAUUUUGAAGUUUUAGAAAAAUUGUUUAAUUUAAAGUAUAGUUUGUUUUCUCAAUUGAUAUUGUACUAUUAUAAUUUACCAUGAUUUUGAUAAAAGAGAAGUUGAAACCAGUUUUUAGGUUUACUUUUUCAUAUGAAAUAAUAUAAAAUACUAUGAGAAGACAAUGAGCUACUCAACAUGCCUAUGCAUACAUAUACAUGAUAUUACGGAGUUUUAUGGUUGUUACAUGAUUAUUUUGAGGUGCAAAUUCUUUUUUCUGUAGUCAAUCACAUAAAUUACUUUUUGGCCAACUUUUCGAUAAAAAGAAAUAACUUUUUGGCAAACAAAAUGUGUUUUAUAAAUAAUUCAUAAGUUCUUGUAGAAACGAGAGUAACCUUGUUAGAUUGAUUCAGUAAUUAAAUAGUGUGCAUGAUGCAAGUAAGUCAGGCAUUUAUAACAAUAAUCUAUUUAUCAUUAAAUGUGAAAGAUUUAAUUUUAGAUUAUCUUUUUGAUAUUGAAAUUGCAUUUUACUGGGUGUUUUUUUUUUAUAGUUAAAAAGGGUUUUUGGAAAUUCAUUUUCUAUAUUUUCACAUGUUUAGUAGCCAAAAAUGGAUUGAUUGAUGAAAAAUCAUUUAUAGUAAAGGAAAACAUCCUCCCUAAAAAAACGAGGAAACUUUUCUCUACUCUCGAGGGAGGAAAUCAUUUUCAAGUUAAUAACCAAACAAGACUUGAAAAUGGUUUUAGUAUAAACCUUAAACAUCAAGUUUUUCGCGGAAAAACUCAUGAUAAAUAGAAAUUUUUUUUGGGAAAUUUUUUUUCAAGAAAAUAUAUUUCCGUUUCAAGUUAAGGAAUUCAAUUUUUGAAUGUUAAGCAAGCAUAUUUUUUGAGGACUUGCAGUCACGUUGGGCCUUAUACUCCUAGACUAUGUAGGUUGCCUAGGGUCUAUCUAUUAACUUGCCGGAUAGUGACCGAUUCUAUUCUUUUAUUAUUGGGAACAAAUAAAAAAUAAAAAUCCGUUUGAUAAAUUUUUUGUUCCUGAUAAAAGAUUUGGAACAAAAUUUAGAAAUGGAAAAAAGUUAUUUUUUGUUCUCAGGAAUAAUUUCAGAAUCAAGCACAAUCUAUUUUUCUUUUCUCUUUUCUUUUCUUCUUUUCUCCUUCUCUCUUCUUCUCUCUCCUUCCUCCUAGCCAGUCAUUGGCCACUGCCGCUACUGUCGACGAUCAUCGAUCGCCACCCACAAAUAAGGAGGAAGAAGAAGAGAAAAGGAAAAAGAGAAAAACAAGAAAAAUAUAAUAAAAUUAUUAAAAAUUAAAAGAAAUAAAAAAAAUUAAGAGUCUUACCAAAUGCACUUCUAUUCCGGAAAUAUAAAUUUUUGAUACUCAAGGCGCGUUUGGUAACGUUUCUAUUAAAAAAUUGUUCUCGGGAACAGAAAUAGAAAAAACUAUUUCUGUUCCGGUGAACAAUUUUUGAACAGAAGAACACAUUUGGUAACUGCAAAAAAUUUAUGUUUCUGGAAUAGAAAAAGAACAGAAACACGUUUGGUAAACUUGUAUAAUUUUUUAAUAUUUUUAUUUUAUUUUUCCUUUUUUCUUCUUUCUUCUUUUUUCUUUUUUCUUUUUUUUCUUUCUUCCUUUUGGCCAGCGGCCUCACCCAGCCACGGCGAGGUUUGCCGAGCCUCGCCGUGGCUGGGCGAGCUUGAGCUAAGGUCGAGCUCGCCCAACCACCGAUGAGGCUGAGCCUUGCCAGGCCACCGCCAGGUCGGCGUUGCCCAGCGGUGGCCAGGCAAGGCCGAGCCUCGCCGGUGGCUAGGUGAGCCUCACCAGGCCACCAGCAAGGCUCAACCUCGCCCAGGCGACACGAGGUCGGCCUCGUGCCGGCUCCGGAGGCCGAGCCUCCCGUGGCCACGGCGAGGCUCAGGCCGGUGACGCUCCGGCGAGGUCGUCGACCCUCGUCUGGCCGGUCACCGGCGCCGGCCAUGGCCAAGGCCGGUGACCGGCAAAAGGAAGAAGAAGAAGAAGAAAAGAAAGAGAAAAAAAGAACAAGAAAAAUGAGAAGAAAAAAAAGUGUUUCUCGGAAGUGUUCCCGGGAACAAAAAAUAAGUUUUUUCUACUUCUUGUUUCUAUUCCAAAUUUGUUUCCGGGAAGAAAAAAAUAGAUUUUCUGUUCCAGGGAACAAAAGUUUAAACAAAUACGUUUCUGUUCUUUUUUUGUUCCCCGGAACAAAAAAACAAAAAUUGUGUUUUGGGGAACAGAAACAAAAAUUUGCCAAACACCCCCUUAUCAAACGUCUUCAAAUGUUCAAAAAUCAUUUUGGGAAACAAAAUAAAAAAGAAUCAUUUCCGAGCGGAAAUUAUCCCCAAGAACGGAAUAGUUACCAAACGUAUCCCUAUAGUUCAUCUUUUUUCAUAGAAUCAUAAUAUCAGUGUAAGACUUGAAGCAAUGCAUAAUGUCACGAAGAUAGAUAAUAUUAUCAAACAAUUCAGGAUUCCUAGCUUUGAGAAGACCUUCAUAUUUCAUGCACGACCAAGGUUGUUUAUGAUGAUUUUGAGUUUAUUUUGUACCCUGAAAUACUAACCACUUGGAUCGGUUGAUGUUGGUAUGCAGACUGCCGCUGCAGGGGAGAUGGAGGGCAAAACUUUUAUCUGCUAUGAAUAUUCAAAACCAGAUGGAUCGGUUCACUUCCAUUAUGCAGCAGAAGUUUUUGUCGGGAAGAUCACCAGCACUUGGAUUACUCCAAAAUAGAUGAGGACGAGAGCCUGGACGAUCGCUGGCUUAGGCAGGCCAGCCACGACGCCGAGGAGAAAUAUUUUACUCAAGAUUGAGAAUGUCAUGUGCAGUGAUUCAUCAUUGCCAUCUUGAACUAUUCUCUCUCUCUCUCUCUCAAACGCACGCACGCACGCACGCACACACAUUGGGCUAGAGUUGGAUGGGAGUCUCUUAGUUGUAAUUUGUAAUGAUUCUCGUUCAAUAAGUCGUGUAUCGCCAAAUGGGUCACUGUUUAUUUUCCCUCGCAGUGAUCUCUAUUGUUCCGUAUCUGUGGUUGUUGCCCAUGAUGGAUGGUCGCACUGUUCUUAUUUGAAUGGCAAAGGACGUUUUGAGGUGGACUUAGUUCUUUUUGGUGAAUUUUUGUAGUGACUUGGAAAGGUAAUUUUCAGGUAUUAAUGAUGUUAGAAAAAUCUGUAAAAUUAACUUAAAUGCCAUCACAACUCAGUCCGAUUGAUUUAUUCAUCAACUUAGAUUCAUCAGGAAAAGUUGCCACCUCAAAUGCUUGAUGCCCUUCUCUUGGAUGGGAUUCGGGAUUCUAAGAAUUAUUAACUAUUGCGUACUACCUGCCUUUACCAAAAAAAAAAACUAUUGCGUACUACCUGUGAAAAGACACUGCUUAUACCCAACUUGAAGAGAAGUGUUGUGACAAAAGUUGAAGUAAAACUUGCAAAGGGCAUAAUCCACCGUUAAUGUUCUUAUAUGAGAUGGCAUUACUUCUUAUAUAUGAGAUGGUCAUACUGUGGUACUUGGUCGAGCCAUUUUUUUGUCAAGAUUACUACUACUAGAGUUACUAAAAGUAUGGUGUUCACAAUAUCCAAGGCCUUGGACAAAGUGAGCAACUUCAUUUAAUUCAUGCGUCAAAACUUGCCUUACUUCAAAAGAGAUUCCGAUACAUGGACAUAGCAUCUGCCUUUGGCCAAUUCUUAAAAAUUGGCAACAAAAAGGAAAAAGGAUCAAACAUCACUGAAGAAAUCGAAAACUUUUAAUAGAAUUUUAAAAAAUGACAAUCAGUUCAAUAUGUUCGAUAGGCGAUGAUUCAAAGAUGAUGACAUUUUGCUGAUUACAAAUAAAAGACAUAAGAUAAAAUUGUUCAAGCGAAACAACAGCCAAAGUAGAUGACGCUCUCAAAGGACAUAUUGUUUUUUCUUCCCAAACUAAGGGCGUGUUUGCUAACGUUUCUGUUCCGGGAAACAAUUUUUGAACAGAAAUAGUUUUUUUUUGUUUCUGUUCUCGGGAACAAUUUCUGAGUAUAAGAACGCGCUUGGUAAUUGCAAAAAAUUUAUACUCCAGGAAUAGAAAUGUGUUUGGUAAAUUUGUAUAAUUUUGUUGUUUAUUUUAGUUUUUCAAUAUUUUUUAUUAUAUUUUUCUUUUUUUUCCUUCUUUCUCUUUGUGACUGGUCGUCGGCCAUAGCGGCGGUCGGCGACCGGUUGGGCGAGCUCCGGCGAGCUCGCCGGAGCCUCGCCAAGCCACCGUGAGGCUCGGCCUCGCCCAAAUCUAGCGAGGCUGAGCUCGCCCAGCCACGGCGAGGCUUAGCCCAACGAGCCUCGCCGUGGCUCGACGUCUCCGGGGGUUGGCGACGCUCCGGCAAAAGGAAAAAGAAGAAGAAGAAAAGAAAGAGAAGAAAAAAAGAGGAGAGAGAAAAAUUAUUUUUCGGAAUUGUUUCCGAGAACAAGAAAUAAUUUUUUUUUACUUCUUAUUUCUGUUCCAAAUCUGUUUUCGGGAACAAAAAAAAUAGAUUAUUUUAUUUUCAGAAACAAAAGUUUUACCAAACGUGUUUUUUUUUUUUCUGAAACAAAAAAAUAGAAAUUUUUAUUCCGGGAAACAGAAACAAAAAUAGGCAAAAAUGGCCUAAGCUGCUGACAAGAAUGGUUGAAGAGGUGAAUGGCCACUCAACUUUCAGUUUGCUCCCUCGGCCUCCGAACCGUACUGCUUACCGUCACUAGCAGUGCCGUGGCACUGAAACUGAAGAUGAGAAAAAGAGUUAUUCGGUCAUUCGUUCUAGCUUUUGGUAUAGUAUAAAAAUGAUUUUUUAAAAAUUUGAGCACGCUGGUUGCUGAGUCGUAGAUUUGGUUGUUAGUACUUUUUAAUGAAUGCCUUGAUUUAUGGUGAGCGUCAGAAAAAGAAUGAAAAACGAAUCCGCGAAGCAUGAUUCAUGGCAGGCAUUGGAGGAAGAUUGAAGACAAAAAAAAGCUACAAGCAUUUAAUGAAGAAACCUUCUGCACCCUGAAGACAGAGAAUGCUAUAAAAGCUCAUUGAAGAGUUCGCCGCACCUAUCUUCAAGUGCGUUUAUUGUGUGGAUAUUAUUUGACUUUGUUUGUGUGCAUUUAUGCAUUUGUCUUUUUUUUUUUAAUGUUUGUCAAAUUAUGUACACGUACAAGAACUAUAAAAGGUUGUGGACUUAAGAUUUUUUUUUUUUUGGGACAAUAGGAACCAACUUGCAGCCGACAGCCACACCGUAAACCUCCCAAUGACACUAGCAUAAGACCCACCACCACAGCGUCACGUUUAAGACACCUGGCGCCUCCACUGGGUUUUAGAACCCCUCACCUCUGGGCUGAGGAUCAACAGGGCCUUAUCCCGCGGAGCCACCAUGGUUGGUGGUAUUGUGGACUUAAAAUUUGUACCUGCACCGAAGGAAAAAGCAUUUGCAUUCCAAAUUAGUUCUCCGCCCGCCUGGACUUUACCACAGGCCUUGCAUCCCCAGAUUCAUGCAGCCUUCCUCUUCACAGCAUACCGUGAGGCACAAAGUUAGAAAGAUAAUGGAGAAGCAAUAUUACAAAAGAGCAGCAAAAAGAUUUACCUUCCCACAAAACUUGCAGAAAUACUUGCUAUGUUGGCUGACCUCCAUUUUCUUAAAUCUGCUUAUGCAGACUCGCCAACAGAAGUCCUUAAUUGAAUCCCCAUCUUCCUUUCAGACAUCAAUGUCCAUAAUUCACGAGGCAUGGUCGAUGCCAUGUAUUCAUUCGAUAAUCAGCUAUUUGCACCCAGAACUUGCUUAUAACAUCAUCAAGAUCCUUGCUGCACUUGCCGACAAUGCCUGCCUUCUUCGUUCUUUUGGUCUGCGAACAAAGCAAAUGGUGCGAAAUGCAAUUUUGUUUUUCAAGACUAAAAGAGACUAUUGUGCGUGCGCACAGUGCAUGAACACCAUCCAGUGUGGUUGAUGUUUGAACUCAUAUAUACAUGUCAUUCCUCUGAAUUGCACCACACAAUUACAGAAAAUUACGCGGCUGUGGAGGACUGCACAUCAUAGCACCAAAAGAAUACGUGUGCUAGAAGAAGAGCAUGAAGCUAGACUGCGUCUCUGUCGAAAUUCAAAAAGAGAACCAUGGUUGGUGUGAGAGAGAGAGAGCAGCAAACGAGUGGAGGCAGCUAUUGAAACAGCGUAGAUUAUUAGGCUACGUUUGGUAGUCAGAAUAAGAUAUAAUUUAGUAUAUCAUGUAUUUAGUCCUUACUCAAAUCAAGUCAAGAUAAUGCGGAUAUAAGAAAGAUAUAAUUUGGGUAAAAAAAUCUUGUGGGAGGGUUGGGAUAAAUGUGGAUAAAAAUAUUAGGGUAUGGCUAAAACUGCUUUGUUUCGUUAUUAUACGUAGAUGUAGAUGCAAUCGCAAAUUUGUUACCGACAACAUCAUCUGGGAAAUUUUCAAUGUGGCUCCCAAAGUUUUGGCCCAGUCCAAAUCGACCCCCUGCUCUUGCUUUUAUAUGCAUCAACUCUGGAAAUCUAUCACAAUCGAGUCCAAAUUGAUCAUUAUUCGAUUAGGGAGAUCGGAUCAAAUUGAGGUCACGGUGUCCUUACUUAGUUAAAUGGCAAUGAUAAAACCAAUUUAAAUUUGUUAACAACUUGCUUAGAAUUUAAACACGCGAAAGCGAAUAAUCAAAGUUCGAGAUGGAGAAUCAACAAUCACGUACUUAUUACUGAAUUUGUCCCAUGCCCUGAUCACAACUCAUCUACCAUAUUCGUAAACAUCAUUUAUCGGUCGAGAGAACAACGAAUCUUUCAAUUUUCAAGAAGCACAAUAAAUCUAUGAAAACUCCUUAUUGGAGUAAAUACUAAGAUUGUUGAUUAGAAUUCACUUUUUGUAUUUAAAUGAAUCCAAAUAAUAAUAAUAUAACAUGAUUUUUAUUAAAAAAUAUCUCGAGUUUAGAUCUCACUACCAUCCACACACACAGCAUUUAUUUCUCAUAAAUACGUUGAAAGUAGAAACACGCUUCAUGCUCAUCAUAUGAAUGUUCUCUUCGUGAAUUAAAUAAUGCAAGCGAUGACCAUCUCCAGGGUCAUGCGUCCUUGCAUUAAAUGAAGAGAGAGGAAAACGGUUGACGUCUUUGUUUAUUAUUCUUGUCAGCAUUUAAUGCUCUUCCUGCACUGGCCAUAUGAACGCGAACGCGCACGCGCACGCGCAGGAAGAUAGGAGAAAAUGAGCAGCUUUUUUUGGCUUCGUUCUCUGAAGAAAGGGAACAGUGAUGGCAUCAUUAGCCAUCAAUGUUGACUUUGACCGAUAGGAGAAGAAAUGAAAAGCUCUUAGCUCUUCGUGCAUAAAAGUCAAGAGAAAAGCGACACCAUCAUGAACAAAAAGAAAGAGUGAAGAAGACGUCCUCGCGCCGCGCUAAAUGAUGAUAGGCUUUUCUCGGUUAUAAAUAGAGACGAGCCAUCGGGGCAGAAGUGCGCCAAAUCCUUGGUGGCUGAGAGAGAGGGCUCUGAAACUGUAGAAGAGUGCAGAGAGAUAAAUUCUAGUGAGUAAAAUCCAUGUAAUUUUUUGAAUGAUAUUUCACUAGAAAUUAGGAGAAACUAAAUAUCAUAUAAGUUAUUAGAUAUAAUUAAAGAUUAGGAAAACAUCGAGUGUGUAUUAAAUGUUCGAAUAAUUAUAAUUUUCAUUAUAUCACUUAUUUUUAUAGUGAAAUGUCGUGAUGCUCUCUUUAUAGAUUUAAGUUUCGAUAUUCGGAUCAAAUUAUGUUAAUUUAGUGUUUGAUUUUCUUUUAUUUCUUUUGACUAGUUUUAUCGAUUUGAUUGGCCCUCCAUAUCCGCGACAGUUUUCACCCCAUUUACAACUUCUAUUCGGUCCUAAUUCCAGACUUACACUGUUGGCAUCGCAUACCAUUUGAUACAAUGGACAGCAGAAAUUUCGUUUCUUAAAGAAGGAGCGACACUAGCGUGACAUGCGCAAAAAUAGAGAAACCCAUGUCUUUCUUUUAGCUUGGCCCAUAAACCCUAAUCAACUGCAAAACAGAGGCAACUUCUCCAAGCACUGCAUGGAUGCGCACACAUGGAACGAAUGGGGUAUGGGAUGAUUAGCAGGAGCGACAUUUCAGACUAGGAUCCUGAGAAGCAGCAUCCACGGUCGUGUAUUAUUUACGAUUCGAGUUGAUGUGAGAAAUUACCGAGCACAGUCGAUUUCAAUAAUUAGAUAAACUAAUGAAGGUAUUGAUCCACAGUCGUGUAUUUGAUAUCGGGAUAGAGCUCCGAAGCUUCCACUCCGAAUGAUGGCUCAAUCUCGAAGUUGGUUUGGUCUCCUUUCACAAAAUAAGAAUGGAAUAUGGCCAACGUGGCAUCGAGUGGAACUACCACCUCUACAAUAUGACCGGAAAAGUAGACCAAUCGGAGCUUGAGAAUGGAGAUAAUAUCACGUACUUAAAUCUGAUAGAAAAGCACCCCUAACCUUGAAUGUUCUUCAGACCUGCUCCUCUGGAACAUACAUCCUCUCUAGGUCCUUGCCAAUCUUUCUCUCCCACAAGGACACAAGAUCGUAUGAUCACUGACUGCCUCAUUCUGUUGAUACUUGUGCUGAAUUAUAUCGGUCUUUUGAUGAUUAUACUGAACAAAUUUUGCUUCUAGGAUGGCACUAUCUUGGUGUGGAAAGGAGGUAGUGAGGCUGAUCCUUUCCAGAUGGCUGCGCCUCUCAGGAGUCACACUCAGGGCAUGGUAUCAUUAACUGUUGGGCCUGACCGGUUUUAUUCAGGUUCUAUUGACCGGACCAUAAGGGUAAGUGGGUUUGUCAUAGAUGUCUCUCCCCUUGAUUAGUUGUGUGUCCGGGGAAGGCGUGACUUGGCCCUAGUAGUUUAUGUUUUCUCUUGCAUUAUUUUAUUGGUUUACUACGUCCUCUCCGUAUUUUUCUGCGCCACUCCACUGUAGCAUCGUGCUGACCCCUCACAUCUUUCUUGUUUUCUCCCCCGCAGGUGUGGGACUUGCACACUCUGGAGUGUGUUCUGGAAAUUGUUGGACACACUGAUGUGGCGAUGUCACUGAUUUGCUGGGACCAGUAUUUGAUAUCUUGUUCAUUGGAUCAGACAUUCAAUGUUUGAGUUGCCACUGAAGGAGGCAGCUUGGAAGUUGCCUAUGCACAUCAUGAGGACCAUGUAUGUUGCUCGCUAAUUUUUUUUUUUUUUACACUUGUGUGGAUUAUGGUAUACUGUGGUUGAUGAUGGCACUAUAGGAAAAAGUUUAGGCAAAGGGUGAUUUUUUUUUUCUUAUUGACUCCAUAUGUGCGAAGUGCAUGGACCUGUUUUUCUAAAUUAGAUCACAAAUAUGCGUCUUAUUGCUUUUUGGUUUUACUUCCCACCUAAAAAUGACUAUAUGAAUAAUGUGGAAUGAAUCUUUGUAAUAUUGCCACACGAUCAAGUACCUUGCAUGUGCUUGCUUGCUCCAUGUGGAGAAGACAUGAAUUUUCAUCUUUUACCUGUCGAUGCUUUGUCUGUUUCUUACCGUGCUCCUAGUCUCAUGGAAGUGAUGUAAUAUCAUAUCUUGAUGUUGCAAAUAUCAUUUUGUCCAGCACAUGAUAUUUUUGCACUGUCAGGGAUGAAUGAUGCGGGUGGUAAGCCAGUCCUCUGUGCAUGCGUAGACAACACCGUUCACAUGUACGAGCUCCCAUCGUAAGUCCAAAAUAAUUUCUGUAAUUGGUUUGACAUCCUUGUCUCUCGGUGAAGACUGUUCUCUUCUGCUUGGCUGACUUCGUGCACUCCAGGUUCAAUGAAAGGGGCAAGAUAUUCUCAAGACGAGAAGUCAUGACUCUUCAGACGGCUCCUGGAGGCCUUUUCUUCACGGGAGACGCUACAGGGAUACUGACCGUUUGGAACCGGUCGGAUUUUCUGAAGAGCCAACAAGAGCCGCUUCCUCAUUCGAUGGAAUCAUGCUCAGUAAAAGAGAGAAUCGAUCAGGCUAUUGACAUUGGAGUUCAAAUUUUGUAAGGAAGGCGAUGUCAUCUAUGCCCUGAUGCAACUGGGAUGUGAUUUAAAGCAAGAAACGGAAUGGCUGUUACUCCUACUGUCUUCACCGCACUCUCUCGCUUCUUUAUAGAUAUUAAUACGGUUUGUAUAUGAUUUGUCAUUAAUAAUUGAUAUGCCUUUUUUUAUUCAACAUGGGCAAAUCCAUCUUCUUAGUAGAAUAGAGUUAAGUGGCUAAAGGAGGGAGACCGCAACACUAGAUUUUUUCAUCAGUAUGUUAACAAAAGACAGAUAAGGAAUUUAAUUCUUUCGGUUAUGGACGCGUCGGGUAUCCAAAUCAUUGAAUCAUCAGCAUUUUGUUAGGCACUACCAGGAUCUUUUGUCGCUGCGGAUCAUACAAGAAAGACCCUCGGUUGGGGAUGAAAGUGCUAGUACGAGCACCUAGAGGGGGGUGAAUAGGUGCGAAAACAAAUUUUGCAAAAUAUAGUAUAAAACUUUUACUUUUAACCUAAGUCUGGUUAACAAUAGACUUUGCAGAGGAAAUCAGACUCUAACAAUUAAAUAGAGUUACGAACAAAGUAAAAGAGUUCGGGGAAGAGAAUAAGAACACAAAAUUUAUAGUGGUUCGGCUUAAUCCAAGCCUACGUCCACUCUCCCGCACUGACAGCCCACCGGCUGGAUUUCACUAUGAAUCAAAAGAAUCGUUACAGUAUCACGUCUUUGAUUCCACAGUGUAGAAACUCUGUUACACUUCCUCAAGGCCUCACAAAUGUCUAAACUCUCUUUUGAGUACAAAUUUUUGCUCAACAAUUGAAUCAGCAAAGAAUAAGGAACUUUAGACUUUGGAAUUUAUCUAUCGCGCACACACUCGAAUAACUAGAGCGUCUUCCUUAUAUACUCCUCCAUGCCUUCAUAACCGUUAGCACCUUCCAAAGGAGUUCUUCCAAUCUACCCGUUGGACAGAAUCAAUUAGGGAGAUCUCGAGUUACUUAAGGGAUGUGAUGAUAGCCCACCAAUUCUGCCCGCCCAUACAAUCAGGAUCUAGGAUUCCAUAAGUAAAACCUUCCAAGUAUACUCCGCCAAUCAACAAAUCCAAAUUACUCGAAUUAAUUUCAAAAUGAAUAAUAGAUCUUGAGAUGCUUUUUCCAGUCGUGAGAACUUCUUUAGCCGCUCGAAUCAAAUUCUUAAAGAAAUACUCGAUUCUAGAUAAAUCUUCUUCGUCGGUCUAGAAACUGUCAAUGAGGGUAGACUUUAAAUCUUGAGUCUGGCGGUCUUCAAACUUUGACGAAAGAGUCUGCAAGUCUUCAGACUAGACUGAUGGAAACGUUUUGUCAGCUUCAAAACAAAUAAGGAAGUUUUCUCCAACAAUCUCCCCAUUUUUUAUGAUGACAAAACUUUCAUGCAGAUUUGGAUACUUUUGACCAGCAAGACAAUACUCAAGCAAAUAAGGAUAUCUCAUAAAAGAUAAAUAGAUUAGGAUAAAGAUAGUAUCGAAUAUGUAUCUACAGGAAAUGAGUUAGUCCUGUAAAAACAACUAUCUUUGCCAUGAAUAUCAACAACGCUUAAGAUACUGCAAGCAUUAAACGAUCAAACAGUCUAAAAAAAAAAAAAAAAAAACAGUCCAAACCAGUCACAACCAAACAAGAAUUAAAGUCAAAUCAAAUCAAAUCUGCACCAACUUCUCCCCCUUUUUGUCAGCAUUAAAAAGGUAGAGACGAAAAAGAGAUUUGGAUAAAAUUAAGAUUGUUUUGGAACGCGAACAAAUUGGAAAUCUCCCAUCGACUUGACAGUCUCCUCCAGCUUUCUCAGAUCCUCCUUCAGUUGCGCUAUUUCCUCACCAUUGGCAGUUGCUUGAACUUGAAGACUAAGGGCCUGAACUUGAUUGAGCAAAGAAACUGAAGAUGCUUGAUUAGCAUUCUGCAUAUUCUGAAAUUCGCAUCCCAAGGCAUAAAUCUGACCUCGCAUCUCCAUAAGAACAUCAAGCAAUCUUCUAAAGUCUGUAGAGUUGCCAGUUUGAGUGCUUGCUUCAGCAUGAUCAGUUUGUGGAGUAUUGGCAGAUGAUGGCAUUUCAGCAUGAGCACCCAAACUCGGAGAUGAAACCUCAUGACCUUCUUUAGGAAAUUGAGAGGCAUAUACAUCUUCUGGAUCGGUAGGAGAACGACUAACAUCAUCACUAGUAAAAGCAAGUGAAGGAGUAACUCUUUUCUUAGCAGCUCCCCAUGUUUCAAUGUCUUCAGGUGGAGAGAAGUACUCUUCAUGCUCUGUCUCUUCUUCAGUGACAUGAUGACCUUGUUCUCCUCUUUCCUCUUCUUCUGCAGUUCUUUCUUUCUCUGCUUCUUUCCUUAUCGUUUCCCUAUCUUCACUCCUUUGCUCUGUUUCUUCUCUGUCUUGGUCCUCUCUAUCCUCUGUCUCUAGAACAAAACGCUGUAAGUUCCUUAAAGCAAGAGCGAAAAUGAUGAUAUCUUCCUCAUCUUCUUCAUCCUGCAAGAUGAGUGCUCUCAUUUUCUUGGAUGGAGCUGUUAUGGGCUCCUUGCCAUUCCGUUUUGCAGCCACAGAGUCUUGACGAGUCUUGACAGGAGUCUUCUCCUUAAAUCUCUCUAAAGCCUUGUUUAGCUCCUUCAGACACAUUUUUGAAACCAUCUUCAGUCCCACCACCAUUUGAUCACAAGUUUGAACACACAGAAUUUUGGGAGGCUGAAUUUUAAAAUGUCUGAAUAGCUGAGUAACAAGUGCUGAAUAAGGAAGUUGGCCGUUGUCCUUCACCAUUGAUCUAUACAUGUGAAACAUGAUAGUGUGUGGCAGAGAGAACUUUUUACCAGCUUUGAUAGCAUACAUCAGCUUUGCUUUUGAAUUGGAGACAUCAGUCUUUGAUGUGGAUUUGGGUCUAAGACAGUUAAUCACAAUCUUGUGAAGCAAGACAUUUGAGGCACUCAUCCUCAAGUACGAAAUUCGGCCUUCUACCAUUCCAUCCCGAACAAGCUCCAUAGUCGCACGAUCAAUAGACACACUAAUUGAUUGGAACAUCCCUCUCUCUACUCCAAUCACAUCAGCCAAAGUGUCCAUAUCAACUACAUAAUCCUGGUCUCUAACACUGAAAGAAAAUCUAUUCGCAUCCAAAAAGCUUAGAUUGGAAUAGAAAUACGCAAUAAGUUCUGGAUGAACCACUGUUGUCUUAGAGUAAAAUCGUUCAAGUUGAAGUAAAGUAAAUUUCUCUCGCAACUUCACGUUCAGAGAGUCGAGAAAAUCAAAAUCCACACUCAUUGGGUUCAUCACCCCUCGCUUCAGCAACUUAGAGUAAACUCGCUUAUGUUCCUCAGAAUGAAACAGAUCUGCUCUUUUUCCUCGAAUGUUCGCAGCAACACCCAUUCUAGGCUUAAAAUGAGUGAACAUCUUUUCAUCAUCAUUUCCAUCAGGUUGACUAAAUCCUCCAACAUGUGGAUCACUUGGGAAAUUCGCAAAAGCCCUUUCAGCCGAGCCCGCAGGAGCAAUUCCCAAACGUUCCAUCGUUUUUAAAAAAUGGGUUUCAUUUUUAUACCCCUUUUCUUCCAAAAAUUCAUCAAUAAAGGUCAUUGGAGAACCUCCAUCCUUUAAAGCAGAGUAGAGUUUGAAGGUAAAAUCAUGCUUAAGAGUCCUUACAGAUUCGGCAUCCUCAAUAAUUUCUUCCUCCGCUUGUUGUUGCUGAACAUUCUGUGGUCUAGUCUGAGGAGAAUGACGUGGUUGAGAAUGUUGUGGACUCUGCUGUUGUCUUGGAGAUUCUUCUUCCUCGGUCAUGUCAAAGUGCGUAGGACCCUCACGCAUAUGCUGUGGUCUCCUGCUUACAAUCCUUGAGGACUUUAUUUGGAAAGACAUUAUCACAGUCUUUGAGAGAGUUUCUGAACUCAAUUCGCGAGAAAGAUGAAAACUUUAAGGAUUAAACUAGAGAGAAAAAGUAAGAAAGUGAAGUUCUUUGCUUCUAGGGUUCGUGAGUAAGAAUGAAGAAGAAAGAGAGUAUAUAAGGCAAUUCGAAACGAGGUAUACGGAUCGUCGUAAAAGGAAAAAUAGAAAAUACAUUUUCAAAAAAAUAAUUGCCUUUUUGAAAAUAGAUAACUGUCAUUUCAAAAAGAUAACUUCUUUUUCGAAAAGGAAUGAUUGCUAUAUUUACAAAAACUUGGGAAGAUAACAUCAAUCAAUUGCAGAUUAAUAGACAAUCGUACCUUUUUGAGUUUUUUAUCCGAAAGAUAAAUUUCUAAAACCGAAAUAACUUACAGUCGUGAUUCUUGAUCUUCUGAGUCUGAGCAUCUUUAGACUUUUAUCCCUGAGUCUGAGCUUCUUCAGACUUUAAGAUAUUAAGUCUGGAUUGAAUAAACUCAAAUUGACUUUUCUCCAGUGGCUUUGUAAAAAUGUCCGCCAGCUGGUUCUUUGAGUCAAUGAAUUAAAUCAAGACUUCUCCAUUCUGAACAUGGUCUUUAAUAAAGUGAUGUUGAAUCUCUAUAUGCUUUGCUCUUGAAUGAAGAAUUGGAUUCUUGGUGAGAUUAAUCGCGCUGGUGUUGUCACAUUUGAUCUCAGUGCAUGAGUCUUCGAUUCCAAAGUCUCUUAGCUGUUGUUUUAUCCAUAAGAUUUGAGAACAACUUCCAAGAGCCACAUACUCUGCUUCUGCUGUUGAAAGAGCUACAGUACUUUACUUCCUUGAAAACCAAGAUACUGUCCUGUUACCAAGCAAUUAACAAGUGCCCGAGGUGCUCUUUCUAUCAACUCUGCAUCCUACUAGAUCUGCGUCUGAGUAUCCAAGGAGAGUAAAGUCUCAUUCUUUAGGAUACCAUAGACCUAACUUAGAGGUUGUUGCCACGUAUUUGAUGAUGCGUUUCACAACACUUAGAUGAGAUUUUUUGGGAUCUGAUUGAAAUCUGGCACAAAUGCAAACACUAAACAAAAUGUCAGGUCUAGAAGCAGUAAGAUGAAGAAGUGAACCAAUGAUACUCCUGUAUAGCUUCUAAUCAACUUUCUUUCCUCCUUCAUCUUUGUCCAGCUUCGAAGAAUUUGACAUUAGUAUAUCAGUCUUUUUGCAAUUCUCCAAACCGAAUUUUUUAACAAGUUCUUUAGCAUAUUUUUCUUGGUGAAUGAAAAUUCCUUUCUUCAAUUGUUUCACUUGUAGUCCGAGAAAGAAGGAUAAUUCACCCAUCAUGCUUAUCUCGAAUUCAUCCUGCAUAGACUUAGAGAAUUUCUUGCACGGAUUUUUGUUAGGUGAUUCAAAAAUAAUAUCAUCAACAUAGAUUUGAACAAGUAGAAAGUUUUUACUUUCUCUUUUAAUAAACAGAGUAGUGUCUACUUUACCUUUAACAAAGCCAUUUUGGAUUAAAAACUUACUUAACCUGUCGUACCAAGCUCGAGGUGCUUGCUUUAAAUCAUAUAGCGCCUUUUUCAGUCUGAACACAGAGUCUGGUUUCCUUGGGUCUUCAAAACCGGGAGGUUGUUCCACAUAGACUUCCUCUUGGAUAAAUCCAUUCAGGAAUGCACUUUUGACGUUCAUUUGGAAUAACCUGAAAUUCUUAUAACAAGCAAAAGCAAGUAAUAAUUUAAUUGCUUCUAACCUUGCUACUGGUGCGUAAGUCUCAUCAUAGUCUAUCCAUUCUUCUUGCGUAUAUCCUUUGGCUACGAGUAUUGCUUUAUUCCUUAUAACUUUUCCUUUCUCGUCCAUCUUGUUCCUGAAAACCCAUUUAGCUCCAAUAACAGAUUUACCUUUUGGUUUAGGAGUUAAAUCCUAGACAUUGUUAAUACUGAACUGCCUGAGUUCUUCUUGCAUAGCUUCAAUCCAGCUUUCAUCAGUUAAAGCUUCUUCUAUGCUUUUGGGUUCUAUUUUAGGAAUAAGAGCCACAACGCUAGAUUCUUCAUGCAUUUUGGAUCUUGUACGAAUCCCUUCAUUAAUGUCACCAAUAAUAAGUUCUUUGGGAUGACUGGACUUAUGCUUCCAGUUGUUGGUUGGUCUGACAGACUGCUGAUCUUUUUCUUCAUUUGAUUCUUCAACGUUCGUUCGUUGUUGACCUUCUGAAGUCUGAGCUGCUUCUAGGGAUUUAGACUUUGUAGAGUCUGGAGCAGGUUCAGAUUCUUCAGGUUGUGUCUGGAUUAUUGAUUUUGUAUAAUGUCUUGAAAUUUGACAUUCAUCGAUUCUUCCACAGAUUGAGUCUUUUUAUUGUAUACUCUGUAAGCUUUGUUGGUGGUUGAAUAUCCAAAGAAGAUUCAUUUGUCUGAUUUUUUUUUUCAAACUUACCAAUUCGAUCAUUUGCAUUUUUCAAUAUAAAACAUUUGCAACCAAACACAUGAAAAUAGGAAACAAUUGGCUUCUUUCAUUUGAACAACUCAUAGGGAGUUUUCUCCAGAAUAGGCCUUAAGAAGACUUCAUUAAUAAUAUAACAUGCUGUAGAAACUGCUUCAACCCAAAAACAAGAAGAAAUGUUGCUUUCAAUUAAAAGUGUUUUAGCCAUUUCUUGCAACGAUCUAUUUUUCCUUUCCACAACUCCAUUCUAUUCUGGAAUGUAUGGAGAGGAUAACACAUGCUGAAAACCAGAUUUAUCACAAAAUUUAGCAAAAUCUUGAUUUUCAAACUCACCUCCAUGGUCUGUCUGUAUACUUGAAAUAACAUACCCUUUCUCAUUCUGUACUUUCUUAGCAAACUUUAUAAAAUAAGAAAAAGUUUCAGACUUACUUGCCAGGAAGUAUACCCAAGUAAAUCGUGAAUAAUCAUCCACUAUUACUAGGCAAUAUUUCUUUCUACCAAUGCUCUGAGUCCUAGUUGGUCCAAAGAGAUCCAUAUGUAGGAGCUGCAGCACACGAUUAGUGGAAACUUGAUUUAUUGGUUUGAAAGAAUUUCUAACCUAUUUUCCCAACACACAUGGUGUGCAUAAUUCAGAUUUUUGGUAUGUCAGGUUGGGUAGUCCACGAACAAGCUUCUUUGCAGAGAUCUUGGCUAUUUGCUUCAUGUUGAUAUGACCAAGUUUUCGAUGCUAGAGAUUAGCUUCCUCUUGAAUUGAAAGUAGACAUUGAGAUUUUUUUGGUUUGAUGUCCAAAAGAUAGAUGUUCCCAUGUCUUCGCCCCGUGAAGGUCUGAGAGAAGUCUUUACUAGUUCCCGAACAUUUUCCUUCUUGAAAAUUGAUUUUGAAACUUGUGUCGCACAUUUGACUGAUACUCAGCAAGUUGUAAUUGAGUCAUUCUAUUAAUGAGACAUUGUUGAUUGUAAGACUUCCAAUCUUUACUCUUCCGCAUCCGACAAUUCUUCUUUUGCUAUUUCCACCAAAAGAAACUUUUCCACCAUUAACUUGCAUAAGCUUUAUGAAACAACUUGAAUCCCCUGUCAUAUGUCUUGAGCAUCCACUAUCCAAGUACCAUUUGACCCUUUUCUUGAUAGUGACCUGCAUUUAAAAAAGAAACUCAAGCUUUCUUUGGUAUUCACACUUUCUUGGGUCCAAUGGAAUUAGUGCAAUAAACGGUCUUUGCCCAAUCCUUCUUAACAGGUUUCCAAAUCAUGGGACAUUCUUUCUCAAAGUGUUCUGAGGUGUUGCACUUAGAACAUUUAAGAACACUACGGCCAACAGGUUUUACAAAGACUUUUUGAAAAUGAUUUCUAUAGAAGGCUUUUGUAGGUAUUUGUUUGAUUCAUUCCUUUACUUUUGGAAAAUCAAUUAGAUGAAUGGUUUCAGAAGUCAUUCCCAAGCCUGAUUUGUUAAAGUAAGGUCUUUGUACUGAAAGAAUCUUUUCCAAUUUCUCAGAUCCUAUAGAAAACCUUUUUGAAAUACUUGAAAUAUCAUUUUUCAAAAGUGUUUUUUCUUUUGAAAGAAACUAUGCAUUUUCUUUCAAAGUAAUAAAACUUUUAUCUAAAUUUUCGAACUUUUCUUUCCAAACAAUCUCCUGUUGCUUCAGUGUAGAAUUUUCCAUUUUUAGCUCAGAAAUCCUCUUGAGAGAGGUUUUGAGACUAAGACACAGUUCAUCAAUAUAUUUAGAGAUUUUAGUAGGAAUUUUUAAAUUACUUACCUCGAUUUCACUGUCUGAGUCUGAGUCUAUAUUUUUCUCAAAGUCUGAAUCCGAUUCUGAUUUUGCCAUUAAACAAAUAUUAGCAUAAUCAUCAUCACUCUCUUCGCAUUUGGUAUCACUCAAAGUUUCUGCUUUGAGUGCCUUCCUGUAUUUCUCAGCUUUUCCUUUUUUUUUCUUCAGCAAGGGACAGUUGAGUCUGAUGUGUUCCUUUUUCUUACAUUCAAAACAAAUCACAUCUUUAUUGGAUUCAUCGUCCUCAGCUGAUUUAUUUUGAAACUUUUGAGAACUUUGUUUCUUCCAAUUGAAUCUUUUUCCAUUUUUGUUCAGUUUUCUGAACCUUCUUAUCAUGAGAGCAAGCUCUUCAUCGUCCAUAUCGUCUUCAGAAUCUGUAACAUCAAUAGAUUUUUUACCUUUGGGAUCUUCAUCUUCAUUGAUUUGCUCCACUUCAUAAGACUGAAGAGUGUCAACCAAUUCGUCAACGGAGAGUGGCAUGAUCCUUUGUGUUUCUCUUAUUGAGGCCUUUAUGUGAUUCCAAUCUUUGGAAAGUCCACGCAGCAGUUUGUUAACCUUCAUGGGUCUUGAGAUUGGUUAACCUUGAUACUCAAGACCAUUCACGAUUUCUGUAAAACGACUAAAUAUGUCAGUGAUAGAUUCUCUUGGCUUCAUCUUGAAGGCUUCAUAUUGACCAAGCAGAAUAUUGAUUCUGGUUUAUUUCACUCGAUCGGUUCCUUCAUAUGUGAUGUACAGCUUAUCCCAGACUUCUUUAGUUGUUUCACAAGAAGUUAUUCUGUUAUAUUCAGUAGGAGAUAAUGCAUAAUAUAAGGAGUAAAUUGCUUUUGCAUCAAGAGCUUGUCUCUUGGUUAUCUCUUCUUGAGUCAUCUCGCUAGCCUCUACAACUUCUUUUCCCCUUUCUGAGACUGUUGUAGCUUUAGGAAUGAUUCCUUUGUCUACCACAUCCCAUUCCAGAGGAUCUUUUGAUCUUAGGAAUGCCUUCAUCUUGUUUUUCCACAUACUGUAUUCAUUUCCAUCAAAAUAAGGCGGUCUGGUGUUGCUUUACCCUUCAACCAAACCUGGCGACAACAUACUAGCCAUGAAUCUUUAACUCUGAAGUAAAAACACUUCAAUUUAAAUGAGUACACAGGCUCUGAUACCAAUUGAAAGUGCUAGUACGAGCACCUAGAGGGGGUGAAUAGGUGCGAAAACAAAUUUUGCAAAAUAUAGUAUAAAACUUUUAACCUAAGUCUGGUUAACAAUAGACUUUGCAGAGGAAAUCAGACUCUAACAAUUAAAUAGAGUUACGAACAAAGUAAAAGAGUUCGGGAAAGAGAAUAAGAACACAAGAUUUAUAGUGGUUCGGCUUAAUCCAAGCCUACGUCCACUCUCCCGCACUGACAGCCCACCGACUGGAUUUUACUAUGAAUCAAAAGAGUCGUUACAGUAUCACGUUAUUGAUUCCACAGUGUAGAGACUCUGCUACACCUUUUCAAAGCCUCACAAAUGUCUAAACUCUCUUUUGAGUACAAAUUUUCGCUCAACAAUUGAAUCAGCAAAGAACAAGGAACUUCAGACUUUGAAAUUUAUCUAUCGCGCACACACUCGAAUAACUAGAGCGUCUUUCUUAUAUACUCCUCCAUGCCUUCAUAACCAUUGGCACCUUCCAAAGGAGUUCUUCCAAUCUACCUGUUGGACAGAAUCAAUUAGGGAGAUCUCAAGUUACUUAAUAAAUGUGAUGAUAGCCCACCAAUCAUGCUCGCCCAUACAAUCGGGAUCUAGGUUUCCAUAAGUAGAACCUUCCAAGUAUACUUCACCAAUAACGAAUCCAAAUUACUCGAAUUAAUUUCAAAACGAAUAAUAGAUCUUGAGAUGCUAUCUCCAGCCGUGAGAACUUCUUUAGCCGCUCAAAUCAAAUCCUUAAAGAAAUACUCGAUUCUGGAUAAAUCUUCUUCGUCGGUCUAGAAACUGUCAAUGAGAGCAGACUUUAAAUCUUGAGCCUGGUGGUCUUCAGACUUUGACGAAAGAGUCUGCAAGUCUUCAGACUAGACUGAUGGAAACGUUUUGUCAGCUUCAAAACAAAUAAGGAAGUUUUCUCCAACAGGGGACAUUAGGGAGAUUAUCCAAUUUCCCCUCAACGCUAACCAGGUUAGCUUCCUUGAUCGGCUUGUUUCUGACUCAGAGAUCCGUGAUACUCUCCUCUCUGGCUAGAGGUAAAGCUCCUAGACCUAAUGGUUUCACAGCUGAAUUCUUUAAGCAUAACUGGGGGACGGUUGGUGAGUUGGUUAUUUCGGCAGUUAAGGAUUUCUUCAUCUCGGGCAGGCUCUUAAAGGAGAUCAACAAUAUCAUCUUGGUCCUUGUACCAAAAAGCCCGAAUGCGACUUCUGUGGAUGAUUACAGGCCAAUCGCUUGUUGUAAUACCAUCUACAAGUGCAUUACUAAGGUUAUGGCCAAUCGGGUGGCUGUUGUUCUACAGGAUGUCAUUGGGCCUUUCCAAAGUGCGUUUGUUAAAGACCGGCGGAUCAGGUAUAAUAUACUUCUGGCAUAGGAACUCUUUUCUAGUUUUCACAUCCAGCCCUAUUCACCUAAAUGCGCAAUUAAGGUGGACUCCAGGAAAGCAUACGACACAGUUGACUGGGACUUCCUUGAGAUUGUCCUUCAAGCAUUCGGAUUUCCUGAUCACUUAACCCGGCUCAUCAUAACUUGUGUGAGGACCCCUAAAUUUUCCAUUGCUUUGAAUGGGGAGUUAUAUGGAUUCUUUGCCAGUGAUCGUGGGCUUCGUCAGGGGACCCCCUUUCUCCCUACCUAUUUACGUUGGUCAUGGAGGUACUAUAUGGUAUUCUCACUACUCGUUCUUCAAUGCUGGAAUUCAAAUAUUUAUGGAGAUGCAAAGCGACUAGCCUCUCUAACUUAUUCUUCGCGGAUGACGUCUUCCUGUUUUGUGAAGCCGACUUGCCUUCGGUGAAGCUCUUCAAGGAAGGCCUCCAAAUCUUUUCAAAUUGGUUUGGCUUGGUUCCAAACGCAAAUAAAAGUGAAGUCUACCUCGCAGGAGGGUCACAUUCCUUACGGAACCAAGUCCUCCUUACCCUUGGUUUCCAAGAAGGAAGCCUACUGGCUCGCUAUCUCAGAGUUCCCAUCAUCACGUCUAGGAUUAGUAAGGCGGAUUACUGCGUGUUAGUCAACCGCAUCACAGCGAGGGUACAAUCUUGGACUUAUCGCUUUCUAUCCUUCGCCGGUCGGCUACAAUUGAUCAGGUCAGUACUUCAUGCCAUCCAAGUAUACUGGGCUAGUGUAUUUAUUUUACCUACAGUUGUCUUGGAUCAAAUUGAACGAAUUCUUAGACAAUUCCUAUGGAAAGGCCCGGAGUUGGGUAGAGGGGGAGCAAAGGUUUCCUGGGAGGACGUAUGUUGCCCAAAAGAAGAGGGGGGCCUUGACAUUCGAAGGCUUCGAGAUUAUAACAAGGCCGCCAUGUCAAAACAUAUUUGGAUCUUGUUUGCCGAUAAGGAAUCUUUAUGGUGCAAAUGGAUUCACUCGACUUUCUUAAAAAGGUCGAAUUUCUGGGUGGCCAAAAAAACCCACCUACUGUUCGUGGGCUUGGAAGAAGAUCCUCCAACUUAUGACUAAGUUCCGAAGCUCCUUCUAUUGGAGAAUUGGGGAUGGUUGCUUAGUAUCACUCUGGUUUGAUAACUGGCACCCAAAGGUCCUUUGAACUUGUAUUUUUCGGACUCAGCCAUUUAUGUGUCUAGCCUCUCUAGACAGGCGACAGUGGCGGACCUAUUCAUCAACUGGGGAGCUACAAUCAAGUUGGUCUUGGACGCUUGGGAAGAACCCUUCCCACCCUUUCCCACCUCCCUGAUCGUUUUAGUUGGAAGGGAAACACCUCCCAUCUGUUCACGGUGGCCUCAGCUUGGGAAUUGACUAGGAGGAGGAAGACUCGGGUCUCCUGGCACACGUUCAUAUGGAACAACUCGAUCACUCCAAGGUACCAACUUAACCUUUGGCUUAUUGCCAAACGCAGGCUUCCUACCCAAACUUUAUUAUUAUCCCAUGGUAGGAUAGAUAGUGCCUCGUGUCCCUUCUGUAAUGAGGUGCCGGAUUCUAUAGACCACCUAUUCUUUGGAUGCCGCAUCUCCACUAGCAUCGCCUUCUUCUGGGCCUCCAGAUGCAAUCUUCUGUGGCGGAACAGUUCGUAGGUCGACAAUCUCAAUUGGGCUGCCUCCUUCCUUGCAGGCAAAGAAUUUUAUAAGUGCAUUGCUCGCUUCUCUUUUGGUGCUCUUUGUUAUUUCAUUUGGAAGCAUAGGAAUGGCAUCCUCUUUAGAGAGCACAGCUUAUCCAUUCUAGCGGUGAAGAAUCAACUAAUCAAGGUCGUCAAAGACAAGGCCACCACCUUCAGGAGUGUGGAUAAUACUUAUAGAAAUCGGAGGCUGCAGUGUAGCUGGGGUAUAGAUUCGAUCAUUUUUUCAGCUAGGGACUUCUAUUUCUGCAGGGCCCUAGCCUGGUGUUUGCUGUGCAGACACUCUUCCUCUAUGCAGCUGCUUCCUUGAUGGUUCUUCACUUUUGUCGCUAGCGAAUGCGGGGGUAGAUUGUGGUUCAUCUGGCUUCUGUGGCCUCCCACUGUUUGCUUUUCCUUUUGCCAUUGUUUUGGCUGUUUCUGUUUCCUCAGGCCCGCUCUUGCAGUCCUCUUUUGCAUUCGGCUCCAUUCCACUCACUCUGACUUGUUGUCUUGUUGAGUGCAAGUUUUGUGGCGCCGGAUCUUUUGUAAUUAUUGGUUAAAGCUCUAUAUAUUCUUACCAUUCACCAAAAAAAAAAAAAAAAAUCCAUCUUCUUAGUAGUUGACCAUAUAACUUGUCGAAAGGAAACCUACCUUCUUUCAAAUUCACAUCGCAUAGGCGGACUACUGUAUGGAUAAAAAUCGUUCAAUGAGAAACUAAUAAAUCGACUUUCAUAAGCUUUAUGGCACUCCAUGUACUUUAGAAUGAGGAGUCAAAACCGAUACAUUACAUACUACAGUUCAAAUGAACAGAUCUUGAGAACUAGAAAUUGAUACAUGGAUUUCACUUAAGCUUAUGAAACCAAUAAGACUGCUCCAUCUUCAGUGACCGGAAGAAUAUUGUUUGAAAUUGAUAGCAAUAAGUUAGGACGACUCCCUUCGACCCCAUAUUGCGAGGUGUUUGGGACUUGAUCAGGAUUUCAAGCACCCAAUCAAAUUUUAAGUAGAUCUGAAGUUCUCCCGAUCCUGUGCGCCGAGCAAUUAUGCGAGCAGAUAAGCUCUGCAAAGAGACUUGAAAGGAAGUGUGUUCUUUUGGGUCAAAUCCGGAGAGCCAUGAGGUGGAUCUCGAGGUAAUAGGGGCUGAUCGGGCUCGAGCUGUGCAGCUAAUCAUUAAUUUGUUGUUCAAUCGAAUCCCAUGAACUCUAUGCAUAUAGAUAUUCGAGGAUAUUAUCCAUUAGUUUAUCCGAUUUAAAUGACAACAAUGUAAAAAUUCUUCUUUUUUUUUGGGCUAGGAUUCGAAGUUAGGAUCUCACACCGUCAAACAGCAACACCAAAUCAAUUACACACAAUUAUUAACUCUUAAUGAUUCAUUGGAUUAGAAUUGAUUCAUCAUGCACUCGUUAGCAUGCAUGAUAUUUAGCUAAAAUAGCAAAUAAACGGUGCGAAUAAUCAAGUAUUGGAGAUUUAAGUUGAGAUAUUGAUGGACUGCUAAUGUAUUCGACACAAAUAUUGAUUUUGAUUUUAUGGAGAUCAGUUUCAUUCCAACAGUAAUGAAUUUGUCUAUAGGUAGAGGAUCUCCAUCUUAAAAAAAAAUUUCCGUUUGCAAGAAAUAGAGCGUUUGCUUAAAAAAAAAAAGAAGACUCAAAUAUAUAAUGGAGAUUGAUAGGCCAUCAUUAAUUUAUUGGCUAACAUAAACUUCAUUAUUUUAACGUACUCAGUCAUCCCCGUCAACGUCAAGUUGGCUUGUAACAGCUUAGCUCCAUUAGUCCUAAUCCCUCAAGAUCCACCUCUUGGCUCUUCGGAUCUGACCUAAGAGACUUCAUGCAGAAGAUGAAGUUCAACUCUGGGUCAUUGGCUGCAAUCUUCUUGCAGGUGUCCUGAACAAUAUCGUUUGACAGUAGAAGAUCAUGAGGAAAAGGAUUGGGAAUAGGGAAGAGAUGGAGAAUGCAUGAUUCAUUUUUCUUAUAUUGAAAGGACCAGUCAUGUUAUUUAUUGACGCAAUUUCAUAGAUGGUAGUAUGCCAAACCGAAUAUAUUAUUACACAUUGUAUAAAGAUAAAUACUGUCAAAGAGGUAGGUCAACUAGGCAAUCUAAUCUAAUCGAUUUGCCUGCUGCCAUAGUUACCAGCAAUCCAAAUCAUGUCAUAAUUGAUAGGGGAUUCUUUGAUAAGAUUGCCAAAUCGACUUGCUUGCAGCCAUAAUAUUUAGAAAUCCAAAUCAUGUCCUAAUGAAAGCCGGAUUCUUUGAUAAGAUUGGCAAAUCGACCUAUCUCUUCGAGAAUAUUCAUCCUUAUACGUUGUAUAGAAAUAAAUUAUAUAAAUACACGUAUGUAUUCUUCUGGGUUAUCAUCAAAUGCACAAUUACACUUGUUUAAAGGGGAAAAUUAUCCAAAAAGUACCAAAUCUAUCCCCGACCUCAUCCCAACAAAAUGAAAGUCUUAAGAAAUACAACACCUGAAUCAAGGUUUUUAUAGGAGUGGCGUGAAGGUUGAUGUCUAUGUCGUACCUCCUUGAUGGACAUGGGAUCGAGCAACUACACCCAUCAUGGAUCUCGACUCAACCAAACAUGAACUCCUGGUUGGAAUCAAAGAUGGAUAUUAGCAUUUGCAAAAACUUCAAAGGAGAUUAAACAAAGAUGAACUCUCAAUCCUUAUCCUUUUAAAAUUCUUAGUUCUCCUAUUAUUCUUAUAUUUGCAUCAUAGUGACUUGCAAGCAUGCUCAAAACGUACACACCGAUUCUAUAUUCAAAAGAACAAACAUGCGUAUAUCGACUUAACAAUUAUGAUAUAUGUUCUAGAUAUCUUAAAAUAUAUUAUAAAUGUAUAAUCAAGUCUUAAAUUUUUUUACAUGGUGCAAGUAAAUCCUCGAACUUGUAAUAUUUAUGUGAUCAAGCCACUUUAUUAGUUUCGUCGGAUUUGGCUAACACAUAACGCCAACAUAGUUUUCUUUUUAUGCAAUUUCCGUUCUUUGGGGCCCUCAGUUUGCACAGUUUUGGGCCCACUGGGCCUGUCGACAGUCUUUUAAACUUGGAGAGCCCGACUGGCCCAAAUCCAAGCCCAGUCCAAGGUCAACGAAUUUCGCUUUGACUCUCUCCGUCUUCCUUCCUUCCUUCCUCCUCUUCCGCGGUGCUCCAGCAGCUGGAUCGACGGAACCUUGCGUCGAACGACAUCGAAGCGCGAUUCGAAGCAGGUACUCUCUCUCUCUCUCUCUCCGUCCUUCGCUCCGGACCCUCUCGCUCGCUCUCAAUUCAAUCCAAUCCGAUCGUCUCGUUCUGCGCGGUGGGUAGCCGGUGACUUGGUACAUUUCGGGCUCGCUUUCGAGUCUUUUCGAUCACUCCGUCCUAGGUUGCCGAUUCGGGCAAGACGGAGUUCGUCGUAGGUUUGAUUUCGUUGGUUUUUUUGGCUCAACGUGAGGAGUCGGUUUGGGAAGACGAGAAGCGCGAAGCUGCGAGCUUGCGGCUCGCGGGUAUGCAGAAAAGUGUCGAGCUUGUGGAGGAAAUCUACGGGCGUUGCGAGGUUCCUCUCUUCCGUGCGCUUCACACGGGCCAUCAGUGGCAGUGGCAGUGACGGUAUUCUACUUUACCUCCAUCCGCUGAUCGAAAUGGAGGGGACGAAGAGGGGAAUUCCAGUGAUUGAUUAGGAUUAUCUUGGAGAUAUCUGGCGACUUGGUCGGCAUUGUGCAAAAUGAUGAGCUUUUCGUGGGGGCGAGCCUGAUUGGUUCCGGCGGCAUCCCUGAGUCUCUUGUAAAUCUCGGAGCUUUGAUGUGAGGGAAAGGGAUGCAAGUGCGUCGAGCUCGCUAUUCACGGUUACUCGUGUUCUACUCAGCUGUGUACAAGUUCGUAUUGAGUUCGAGCUGUUUGAACUGAUUGAGAGUUGAGCCUCUUGAGCUACUUUAGCCUUCUUGUAAUCGUGGAUAUAGCUUGCGAGUUGUGAGCUAUGAAAAGAAGAUAUUUCUUUUGUGAAAGAGAGAGAGGAUCGUUCCUAUGCUAUCGAGAUAACUUAGCCUGAAUCUGUCCUUGACUUUUGUGUUCCUCUACUGUCGGAUCACAUCUUACGUUUUGAUCUGGAGCAGUAAUAUGGCAUCAUUUCAUCAAUUUUUAUAAUCUCGUCAUUUUACAUCAAUCGCUUUAACAGAGACUUGUGAUUUGAUUUGAAUAUCCAGUUUGCAGUGGCCAAAUAGAUAGUUAAAUCUCGAAAUUAGUUGUGUUAUGCGAUGUCCUAAGAAUGAUUAUGCUGAAAAAGUGGCUGGAGCUAAUCCUGUUCUUUUGUCAGCUUUGAUGACAGAUUUGCAACAAAUAUUGUCUCUCUGAAUAGUGGAAGAGAUGCAGACGCUGGGCAAUUUCAAAUUGCCUCCAUUCUUCAAUUACCCUCCUUAUUUCACGUAAUGACUUAAACUCCUUGCAUCUCCUCUACUGAUGGGAAGGUUAAUGUUGUAUCACUUAUUCUGUUAGUUGUUAGGACGCACUUCUCGUAAUUUAAUUAGCUUCAAUAACCUGAUAUACAAGAGUCAAUAGUUUUCUGAAACUAUAUGCAAUGGUCAUUGUUGAGCGCUUCUAUAUAUCUAUACAUCAUCUACCAAAGAGCACAUUGUUUCCGCUUAGUUUAUCAGUGCUGAAGUGCAGCCUGUGUUACAACCAAAACCCUGGAAAGGGUUGCUUUUGGUCUGUGGCACUGUUUUAGGUCCCUGCUUCUAUGAAUACUCUGUUUUUCUGUUUCCAAUGGAGUCGUAGGCAAGACAGGGCUUUUCCCUUGUCGAUUCUUUGAGGAAAAAAGUUAUUGGUCUGGAAGAUAACUUAGCCCCUUAAGAAUUUUAUGGUAUGGCCGAUGGGUAUUUUUUUUAAUGAGCAUCGACAAGAAAAUUUUGUCAGUUUGUGUGGUUAAAUAGGUUCCAUUCUUUGUGGGCCAGCUGCCUGAAUCUGUUCUGAUCAGCAUUGAGACCAUUUUUUAGCUCAUGUCAUAAUCUUUAAAGUAUCUUACAUGUGCCCAUUGAAUUAUUAGUGAGAUUUUAGGAUUCAAGGCGUAUAGCUUUGGUGUGACUAGUGGUUGUUUGCCGAAACUAGUUUCUUUUGAACCAUCUUCUUUAAGUGAAAGGGCAAAUGUGUACUGCAGCAGAAUUGGUUUUCUAUUUGGUGUGCGAAUGCGUCAGCCAUACAAAACAAAAAUGUCACAAAUUGCCAUCUCUGCCAGUGCACAUUAUCUGCUUCUACUGCUUUUUUAUCUGCUACGUGUUGUCUAAAAAAGGUUGUUGAUGCAACUCGGCUGCAAAUUAUCUCAGUCGGCCAUCCGCUUUUUUCUUUUUUCAAAAAGAAAUAAAGUGUCAAUGGUGCAUAUGAAGGAUUGCUUUAGCUGUACCUUCUUCAGCUUUACUGUAGUUAGCUGCAAAUUAUCUCAUUCUGGCAUCAAUUGUUUUGGUAGUCUUCAUAGUUCCAUUGCCAAAAUUUUUCAUCUGCUUUUCAUUUAUUAGUGGGAAUUCAUAUGGCUCACAACUUGGCUGUACCUUCUUCAACUUGCAGCCAGUAAGGGACACUCGAGAGAAGCAAGUGCAACUCUGGAAGGAACUGAUCCUUGAUUUCUGUAAAACGCAAAAGAUAUUUGUGAUUGGAUUGGAAGAAGAGUUUCCACUUUUUUCAAAUCCUGUGAUUGAGAGUAAGGGCCUUUUCAUCAAUUUAUGUGUUGAGUACUUCUUUUGGUUAUAUCUGCAACCAACCUAUGGCUGUGUUACUUUGUGCUUUGCCAAGAGCAUGCUGGCUGGCAGAAGGUACUUUUUUUUUUUUUUUUUGGGUGGUCAGAGCAGAAGGUACUUGAAAAGCAGGUACCAUCAUGAAAAAAUUUCCGUGUCCUGGCAUCUAGUGUUGAGAUUCCAUUUUCUCUCUUAUGGAACAAGGAAUCUAUGUGAAUUAUUGUGUCCAUCUGCCCCAAUUCACUGGUUGAUCACGGUUUAUAUCCUUGCCUUUUGUCCACCUGCCCAUGUUUCUGAACAACACUAGGUCUGACGUCACUCCCAAACAAUUUCAUAGUUGGUCACAGAUUAGUUUGCGUGUAUGUCCUGAUGAGUCUACCAUUUCUUUCCACUGAAUCGAUUUCCUUAUGCUAUGCAACCUUUUUUAGCUAUUGCAUUGGUUUGCACCUUCCCCUGUUCCUCUCACAUUGUUGCUGGUCUGAGAUCACUAAUGCUUUGUCUACCUAACAACAUAUGUGUUUUUACUCUUAUCCCUCUGAUAGUGCAGGAUCUCUUACUCAUGAAGCAAGGGAAGCAUUCCUUGCUGCCAUAGUUUCUGAAGGUGGGAGUAGUUCAUAAAUUAUUUCAUUUCUGUUUUCUGUUUGGUUUAAUGCUAUAUACUGAUUUAGUAAUGUCAUAUUGUAUGGGAGACCGUUAAUUACCUUCCUCAUCUAGCAGGACGUGCAGAAUGGUUGGACAAAGGUCAUAGGAAGUGUCUCAUUCUCUGGCACCGCAUUCAAGACUGGGCUGAUAUUAUAUUAAACUUUGUGAGUUAGUCAGAGCUUCAGUACAAUUUGAAGCUUGUUAAGUCAGGAGAAGUGCGCUCACCACCCUUGUUUGAUUAGGUGAAAGAUAAUGGGCUGGAGGACUCUGUGAUGACGGUUGAGGAAAUACGUACUGGGCCUGAAUCUCGGGGGACAGGUAAAGUACCUUUUGCAUGUUCUAUAAGAAAAUUCCAAGACUUGCACAUUAGGUAAAAUAUGGUUGCUAUUGAAUUCGACUUGGAAGAAAAAUGAGCUGUUUUUUCACUCCAAGUCCUGCGGUCAGAUAAUGCUAAUCACAAGCUCUCCUGAAAAAUUUCCUCUCUUUCUUAGAGUAUUUCUCCUCUUAUCCUCUCGUCUUGGUAGGAAGUAUCAUUCAAGCUUAAGUGAAUCAUGGUUUGGCAACUCAUUAGGGUCGGCACAACUUUUUUCAUGCAACUUAAGUGGGGUUUCUUUUUUUCUGCUAGAUCUUCAAGGCGUGGAUCGCGUCAUCCUCAUGCGAGCUUUGAAACUACUAGAACACAAGGGGAAGCUAGUGAUUUUCAAGGGCACUUCUGCGGACGAUGAAGGCAUUAAAUUCUCGAGUUAAUGACGAUGAGUGUGUGCUCUUAUUUGAACUUUUACCAUCUGAAACGGCACAUGUACUGUUCCUGGACGCCUUUAUUCAAUCUUUCUCCAGGUUUUUGAGUAAGAAAGACAUUUUAGAAUCUUUCUCCUGCUUGUGCACUGACUUAAGAAUGUGUAAGGCAAUAUGGAGGAGUGCUAGGAAACUAUGGAAGUGGUACCUCGAUCCCCAUCUCUUCCAUGGAUCCGAAAAAUGGCAAUUUGAAUUGCAUGCCAAGGUUUCUUGUCC